GACAAUAUCUCAUUAAAAAACAAUUCAUUUGUCCACAUUAGAUUUUGAUUUGUCUGCAAAGAAGAAUGGACAAAUAUUUUUCAAAUAAUGAACUCUUUUAAAUGGAAUCUCGUUCUCCUCGACUUUAGGGUCUAAAAAAAUUGCGGUCUUAACUUAAUGGAGAAGAAAGUGCUAUACCAAAAGUUAAAUUACCGAAUACUUUUUUCCCGCCAGGGGCAAAAAAGUGGGCCAAUUAGUAGUUUUACAACUUUUAUGGUUUUAAAAUUUUUUUACUCUUCCUUCAGGUGCCCCCUUAAAACAGCAGAAGGCAAGUGAAAUCUUCCUAAACGCAUCGGCAGCCGAAUGUGCACAAGUGGCUUCCGAACUGCGAAAUAACAUCCACAAGACCACCGUAACCUCCUACUGCGGUAACCUGAACAAAACAACGGUUCAAUGACGUGAGAACUGAAAAAGAGUUUGGCUAAGUAAUGAAGUUAAAAGUUUCAUUCCAGUGACCAUGGGCGACCAGCCAACAAAGCUCCCCGCUUUGCGAGGUUCGGAGGAGAACUUCUAUCGUUCGCAGCCUUACUCUAGUGACCAUGGCGGCUAAAAAAGAAUAUUUAAGGUUUAUGCUAGCCACACCUAUUAUUUAUAGGAAUGAGUCGAGGAAAAAAGCUAUACAAAAGGAUUCGAAAAGCCAGAUGGUUUUGAUUACUUGUGUCACUCAACCUACUUUGAGAUACAUAAUCUUCAAUCCAAGGAUAAUGCUGGUAAGACCAACAUUUAAGACGGAAAACGCUUAAAUAAAAGUUAUUUAAAGAUAUCAAAGCGAAAGAGACAUCAAGUAAACAUACCCCAGAUGGGUGUAAUGAGACGGAAAAGGCAGACUGAGGAGCACAUUGCAUUUGUGAAAGAAUCGCCCCAUUUAUGUCAAAACGGGAAAGUAGAGGUUCUGCUCCAACUGCUAAUACCUGGAAAGGAGAAGCAACAGUGAGCUUUGGGAUAUUGGUUUUCCUUUGUGCCUCCUAACUACAAACUAGGCAUUUCUUUAGAAGUUAUAACAGGCAACCACCCAGGCACAACGUAUUCUUAUACUUAUUGCUCCCGAUCACUAUAACUAUUUAAACAAUUUAAUUCCAGCCCCGUUUGUUGGCAUUGAAGAUUUAGUAACAGUAUCACUGUAUCAUCAUCUAAUAAUCUAAAGAGAAAACAUUGCUCACUCGUUGAUAUCUUACCAAUUCAACUUAUCCUGUUAAGAAAUUUGGUAUAAUAUCCUUAUGAAAUGAAAACAACCAGAGUUACCGCUCACAUCUAUUGGAACUUAAAUAUGGGAUAUGGCACCAUUAGAAAAUUCACUAACCCUUUUUGUUAAUAGCACUGGAUGCCAACAGUACUAACUAAAUUAACUAAUAGAGGGCUGCGGUGGGAGCUCACUUGAUUUUCAUCGAAUACUACAUCCUGUACGGAUGCACAAGUUGAAACCCUUGAAAUGCAUUCAGAAGCAGGAAGGUUCCAAACUGAUAAACUCUGACCACUACCGCAAGCCUAUGGAAGAAAAAAAAAACUUAGUACGUUAUAGCAGCAAGCAACUUCAACAGAGAAUUAGUUUAGAACACUAAAUCAACUACAUUCUCAUCACAUAAUUGCUUACCAACCAGCUUUCACUUGCAUCAAGAGCAAUGCAACUGACGCAUGAAAAAAAUCCUUUCAACUUAAUACCCUUGGCUGGCUCAUAUACUUGAACGCACUUUCCACUUUUGCAAUCUGGGUGAAACCAUAAGCACAUGCUUCUAAGAACAAGUCCAUGUGACUUUAUACAAAAACAUACCAACUUUAAAGGCAGUAAAUUCUUAACAACUUUCUGCCACAAUCCUUCAAAAUUGAAAAAUACUAGGUUUUUACCCCAUAUCCGUGCUGUCCCAUCCUCUGAACCAGUUAUGAUCUGAAUAUCGGAAAAGAUCAAAAGAUCACAUUAAAAAUAACAUUUGUCUGGUACCUCAGUGCACAGUGCUACUACUGUAAUUGUAAUUCUGAUACUCGUCACUUCAAAUGAACUAAAAGGGGUGGUUGUUUCCAAAGAGAAGUGCCAGGAAUGAUUAACCUCAAGAUAAAGAAGAAUAUGACCUAACCUGAUUGGUAGAGUUCCGAGCAACUACAGAAUGCAAGUAAUCUGAAUGCCCCUUAAAAGUCAUUUUGACUUGACCUCUUUCCUGAAACAUUUCAGAUACAAAUCAUGCUCGGAUCAGUGCGGCUAGAAAAUUAUAUCAAGAACAAUGUAAUAUGUAAAAAUGUCUCCCAACAGACGCUUCAUAACACGAUUGAAAGAUUCACCUUGAAAAAAUACAUACCACAUCCCAGCAAUAGACGCAAGAAUCACCAGCAGCAGAAAAAAUGCAUCCCCCCUAUCGUUGUCAAAGAGAUGUAAAACACAUUCGUUUGAAAACAUACUACUUUCUAAGCUCAUUAAAUAAUUAAAAUGGAAAAUAAGAUAUAAAGACGCAUAGGACUAGUAGGACUAGAAAAACCUGCAUACCUCGUUGUAAACAGCAAGAGCAUUGUUUUCUGGGAUUGGAGAUAGAGCCCCCCAUGGACCUCUAAAAGGACAACAGUAAUUACAAGAAAUGUCAAAGGAAUUAAUGCUGGGGACUUAUCAUAACCGAUGUUCGAAUCAAUAUUAAGACAUUCAGGGGAACGAAAAAAGUUGCCCUCGGGCAGUUUUUCUUUUCGGUUACUUACUUAUGUUGGGGGUUCACAAGGUCAAUUAUGGGCUUCACAUGCUUUCCUACAUAAACAGGAAGAAAUGUAAAUCCAUAGAGUUAGAAUCACAUUCGAUUUCCACUCGCCAAAACAACAGUAAUUUAAGCUGUCAAAAACCGAAGUCACCUUGCAAAUGAAUAGGCACAUCCGAUUCCUCCCAAUCCUUCCACCUCCAUCCUUGAAUCCGUCCAUCAUCACCGCAACUACAUGUAAAAAAUCCGAGAAAACCAAACGGUGUAAACAUGGUGAAACUAAAAAAUUACUAAAACAAAAUAGUUCUUUCUAGUCAAUAAAUUUAGCAUGAACAUAUAAUCGAACCUCAACAAUACAGAAUCUUCGCCAUUUCCGUAAAACUUAACAUCAUAAGCAGGUCCUUCAUGAGCUUGAAGGAAGCAAGUAGGUUCCGCCAUUAACGACCUACAAACACUAUUCAAAUUCACAAGUAAAUAAACCAAAAAUCAGCUGCUAUCAACAGUCAAUACGACGUCAUAUAUUCACAAACAAUGUAAAGGCCUGGAAAUAAUUACUUUGGAGAUUUCACAUUGCUGAAACCCAGUGGCUGCAACCAAAAUAAAUAAAAUUAAAAUUACGAAAAUUAAUUAAAAAUUAAAAACAAAAUUAGGAGGAGGUUGAAAAAUGAGGAACCUACGAGCUUGGAGAUAAGGGAGGGGAUGGAGUAGGAGGAAACCGAUCCGUCGCUGGAGGCGACGACGACGGUGUCCGGGUUAGGGUUAAGCGACGGAGCCCAAACGGUUCGGAAAACUGUUCGGGUUUGGAUCUCUCGCUCCUUUAAUAUGGAUUCUCUGUAUGCUUCUUCGUCCCAGUUCGUUGCAUCGCCGCACAUGGUGGUUGAUUUGGUUGCGGAAGGCGGGAAGUUCAGCAGAGCUUGGUGAAGAUCUCUGAGCUUUCUUCAGAGUGUUCGGCUAUGGCUUUAGGUGGAGCGGAAAUCAAACACAGACUAACCGGUUUGGCGCAAAUCAUAACUGGGCCGGAUAUGAAAAACACAUGUUAAUGGGCUUUCGUGUGUGAUAUGGGCCCUGGGCCCAAUAUUUGGUUCGGUAGUGGCCCACAUGAGAUCGAGGCCGAGGUUUGGUAACAUUUUAUGUAGCUCCCUCAAUCAAACUUCAUUAUCCUAGUUGCAACCUGCAUUUCUCUCUCUUUCUUAUCACGUGAUAACUAAUUAUAAUCAAAAUUUCAAAUACCUUUUACAUCUGACAUGAAAAAAAUCAAAAUCAUGUCAAGGGAAAUAUAAUUUUUAUCUAUAUUAACUCGAAAUAAUUAUAAUAACUUUUCAACGUGACUAUCAUGUCUUUAAGUUAUAUCACAUAUUCAUUUAUUUAUUCAUAUUUCAAUAGACAAAUUGAUAAUGCUACGUGACAGUGCAAUUGCGAUAUAAACCAAAAAUAGAUUUGUUAAGCCCACUCUUUUUGACACACAUUUUGAUACAUUUUUGUUAAGCCCACUCUAUUAUGUAUUUUAUUGAUUAAACCGUCUAUAUUUUAGGUUUUCUCUUAAAUAUCAUCUCUAUCAAAAUUCACCCAGAUCCAAAAUCGUAUAACCAUUGGAUUCAAGGGUAGUCAUUUGAAGUGUUUAUUUGUAGAACUAUAUUCGUCUAUUUUCUUUAUAACAAAUGAACGUCCUAAAUGCUUUAAAUUGUCUAAUUUUCUACAAUGAUGAUAUAAACUGAAAUAUAAACGGUUUAGAUCUUUAAUAAAAGUUACAAUAAAAACCACAAAAAAAUAUGUCAAAAUAUACGUCCAUGGAUCCUAACCAUUUAAUUAUAUGUUUAGGAUUUAGGAUGGAACAAGGGUUCAAUCCCUCGAAUGUAACAAAGAACAAAAUGAUUAGUGACAAAAAAAAGUUGAUUAACAAAAAUAAAAAUGUAAUCGAUGAAAAUCAUAAAAUGCUGCAGUCCCUCGUUUGUUUAAUAUGUUGCGUUAACCAUACAACAACACACGCACUCCUCGUAUUCUCCCAACCCCAGCGGCACCUUCAAAGCCGCUGUCUUCCACCAAAAACCCUAGCGAUUCUCAUUCCUUUUCGACGAACCCUAAUCGAAAUCAAGAUCUGUUCAGCCGUAAUCGUAGCAAUCUAACGGCAUCCCGCUCCCCGACGACUAAAACUGUGAGUGUGUUUCUUGCUCGUCGCGUUAAAUUUCACAGAUCUGUUAGCUUACUGCUGAAUUGUGCUCUGAGAUGAUCAAUACUUGUUUGUAUGGAUUUUUACAGUUUUGGGUCAGUUUUAACGUAGGAAUUGGAUUAGUAAAGAUAAAUCUUGGGGAGUUUUCUGUUAAAUUUGCUAUUUUUGAAAUGUUGAUAUGGUAAAUUUUCCCGGAUUCUUUGAUGGGUUGUGUUUGUUUUGCUUGGUCUUGAUUUGAAUCUGUUGUUUUUUAAAUUCAGAUAGCAAAGAUUUUCGAUUAGGAAUCGAUUCGAUUAAGUAGUUGCAAUGAGUGAUAACAAUUCCCCACCUGGGUCUCCUAAGGAGGCAGAUCAUGAUUCUGAUGCAAACCAAGCUGUUAAGGAUGAUAGCUCAUUGGAAACCAUAGUCCGAAAGUUCCAAGAUUCGAUGUCGGUUGGAAAAAAGCACACAUUUUGGGAGACUCAACCCGUUGGGCAGUUUAAGGAUCUUGGGGAUGUGAGUUUGCCUGAGGGCCCGAUUGAGCCCCCUACCCCUCUGUCUGAGGUCAAACAAGUGCCGUACAAUCUGCCAACUCCAUAUGAAUGGACCACGUGUGAUCUGGACUCGGAAGAUACCUGCACUGAGGUCUACAAUCUGCUGAAGAACAAUUAUGUCGAGGAUGAUGAGAACAUGUUUAGGUUCAACUACUCGAAGGAGUUUCUUAGGUGGGCUUUGCACCCACCUGGUUACUAUAAGAGCUGGCAUAUCGGGGUUCGUGCAAAAACUAAUAAGAAGCUGGUUGCUUUCAUUACUGGUGUUCCUGCUAGAAUCCGGGUCCGUGAUGCGGUUGUGAAAAUGGCUGAGAUUAAUUUCUUAUGCGUGCAUAAGAAGCUGAGGUCGAAAAGACUUGCACCGGUUAUGAUCAAGGAGGUGACAAGGAGGGUUCAUUUGGAGAACAUAUGGCAAGCAGCUUACACUGCUGGAGUGGUUCUUCCAACUCCUAUAACAACUUGCCAGUACUGGCAUAGGUCUUUGAACCCAAAGAAGCUUAUUGAUGUUGGGUUUUCAAGGCUUGGUGCUAGGAUGACUAUGAGCCGAACCAUAAAACUUUAUAAGCUACCAGAUUCACCUGCCACUCCUGGGUUCAGAAAAAUGGAACUUCGUGAUGUCCCUGCUGUUACUCGUCUGCUGAGGAACUACUUGAGCCAGUUUGUGGUCGCACCAGAUUUCGAUGAAAAUGAUGUCGAGCAUUGGCUUCUUCCGGAGGAGAAUGUGGUGGACAGUUACUUGGUUGAGAGCCCAGAGACUCAUGACAUCACUGACUUCUGCAGCUUCUACACUCUUCCUUCGUCUAUCCUUGGCAAUCAGACGUACUCAAUCUUGAAGGCUGCAUACUCCUAUUAUAACGUCACCACUAAGACUCCAUUGCUUCAGCUGAUGAACGAUGCACUCAUUGUUGCAAAACAGAAGGAUUUCGAUGUUUUCAAUGCACUUGACGUCAUGCAGAAUGAGUCGUUUUUGAAGGAGCUGAAAUUUGGACCUGGCGAUGGGCAACUUCACUACUAUCUCUACAACUACCGGAUGAGGAACGCGUUGAAACCCUCGGAGCUUGGACUUGUACUCUUGUAAUUUUUCCGGUCUUGGUUUUUGCGCUUCGAACUUGACAAAUCAUUCCUGUUUCUUAUUUUCCGUCCUUUUUUCGUGGUUAGCUGUUGUCUUUCAUUUGCCUUUGCUCCUUUGGACUAUCAUCAAAGAAUAUGAGAUUUUGCAAUGCAUUUUAGAGACCUAAAUGUUAUGGGUAUCUUACCUGUAAGCAAAUGCUUAUACAGUAAACACUGUUUGGUGUUUGCAGUUGAAAUGGUUAUUUUAGAGCAAGAUGGAAGACUCGUUUGGAUGUGCUUUUAAAAUGACUGAAAACGUUUUUAAAGAAAAUAUUUUUAGGUUUCAAACGCACUUUAAGUGUUUUUUGCAAAAAACAUCAAUUAUAUAAUUCUUCCAGGAAGAACUUUAAUUGUUUUUCCAGGAUUUACUUGUAUUUUUACCAAAAUUGAUUCCAAAAACAUUUUCAUAAAAAAUGGUUUCAGUUAUUUUAAAAGCACAUCCAAACGAGCUCUGAGUUUAUAUCUUGAACAUGUUUAUAUCUUGAACAUGUUUAUGCAUUUCAUUCAUCCUUCCUCGCAGCGUGAUGGCACGCGAUGGCAGGGAGAAGAAAUCGAGCCCAGGAUCUCGGGUACGAGUAAAACACUCUUCACUCUCUAAAAGCCAUCCCGAGGCACGAAUGAUAACAAAUUCCUAACAUUCUACUUGAGAAGGAUUUGGGUUAAGGCACCCAAUUAGGCAUCAAGCUCGUCAUUCAUGUAAGUUGACACACGAGACCUUUUGUUUACAGGUGAGGAUGACUAGACUGUAGUGCUAUAGUGGCGUUCGACAAAAAACAAAUCCACAAAACAAGGAUUGUCUACCCUCCACUUCCGGUGUCCUCCUCGUGCCCUCCUGUUUGUAUGAUCACGGUUAAGCCACGUCAAUAUUUUAUAUUACUAUUUAUUUUUAGCUUAUUAUAUAUAUAAAAAAAUAAUAUAAAAUGUUGACGUGGCUUAAUCGUAACCACACAAAACAAGAGGGCACGGGUAGGGCAUCGGAAGUAAAUGGCAGAUAAUCCUUGUCCAUCUAAUAAUUUAGCCAAAAGCUACCUUACCUGCAGCCCUUUAAGUAAAACUUGUGAUAUCAAAAGCCUGACAGUAUCUCCUCUCAUACGCAACUCAUCCAAAUGAGCUCUGAGUUUAUAUCUUGAACAUUUUAGAGACCUAAAUGUUAUGGGUAUCUUACCUGUAAGCAAAUGCUUAUACAGUAAACAUUGUUUGGUGUUUGCAGUUGAAAUGGUUAUUUUGGAGCAAGAUGGAUGACUCAUUUGGAUGUGCUUUUAAAAUGACUGAAAACGCUUUUAAAGAAAAUAUUUUUGGGUUCCAAAGACACUUUAAGUACUUUUUGCAAAAAACAUCAAUUAUGUGUUUUUUCAAGGAGGUACUUUAAGUGUUUUUCCAGGAUUUAUCUUCAUUUUUACUAAGGAUUGGUUCCAAAAACAUUUUCAUCAAAAAUGUUUUCAGUUAUUUUAAAAGCACAUCCAAAAGAGCUAUGAGUUUAUAUUUUGAACAUGUUUCUACAUUUCAUUCACCUUUCCCGCAGCAUGAUGGCACGCAAUGGCUGGGAGAAGAAAUCGAGCCCAGAAUCUCGGGUACAAGUAAAACACUCUUUACUCUCUAAAAGUCAUCCCGAGGCACGAAUGAUAACAAAUUCCUAACAUUCUACUGGAGAAGGAUUUGGGUUAAGGCACCCAAUUAGGCAUCAAGCUCGUCAUUCAUGUAAGUUGACACACGAGACCUUUUGCUUACAGGUGAGGACGACUAGACCGUAGUGUUAUAGUGGCGUCCGACAAAAAACAAAUCCAUAAAACAAGGAUUGUCUGCCCUCCUCAUGCUCUCUUGUUUGUGUGGUCACAGUUAAGCCACGUCAACAUUUUAUAUUACUAUUCAUUUUUAUCUUAUUAUAUCUAUAAAAAAACAACAUAAAAUGUUGACGUGACUUAAUUGGGUCUUUGAACCCAAAGAAGCUUAUUGAUGUUGGGUUUUCAAGGCUUGGUGCUAGGAUGACUAUGAGCCGAACCAUAAAACUUUAUAAGCUACCAGAUUCACCUGCCACUCCUGGGUUCAGAAAAAUGGAACUUCGUGAUGUCCCUGCUGUUACUCGUCUGCUGAGGAACUACUUGAGCCAGUUUGUGGUCGCACCAGAUUUCGAUGAAAAUGAUGUCGAGCAUUGGCUUCUUCCAGAGGAGAAUGUGGUGGACAGUUACUUGGUUGAGAGCCCAGAGACUCAUGACAUCACUGACUUCUGCAGCUUCUACACUCUUCCUUCGUCUAUCCUUGGCAAUCAGACGUACUCAAUCUUGAAGGCUGCAUACUCCUAUUAUAACGUCACCACUAAGACUCCAUUGCUUCAGCUGAUGAACGAUGCACUCAUUGUUGCAAAACUGAAGGAUUUCGAUGUUUUCAAUGCACUUGACGUCAUGCAGAAUGAGUCGUUUUUGAAGGAGCUGAAAUUUGGACCUGGCGAUGGGCAACUUCACUACUAUCUCUACAACUACCGGAUGAGGAACGCGUUGAAACCCUCGGAGCUUGGACUUGUACUCUUGUAAUUUUUCCGGUCUUGGUUUUUGCACUUCGAACUUGACAAAUCAUUCCUGUUUCUUAUUUUCCGUCCUUUUUUCGUGGUUAGCUGUUGUCUUUCAUUUGCCUUUGCUCCUUUGGACUAUCAUCAAAGAAUAUGAGAUUUUGCAAUGCAUUUUAGAGACCUAAAUGUUAUGGGUAUCUUACCUGUAAGCAAAUGCUUAUACAGUAAACACUGUUUGGUGUUUGCAGUUGAAAUGGUUAUUUUAGAGCAAGAUGGAUGGCUCGUUUGGAUGUGCUUUUAAAAUGACUGAAAACGUUUUUAAAGAAAAUAUUUUUGGGUUUCAAAUGUACUUUAAGUGUUUUUUGCAAAAAACAUCAAUUAUAUGCUUCUUCAAGGACGUACUUUAGGAUUUACUUGUAUUUUUAUUAAGGAUUGGUUUCAAAAACAUUUUUAUCAAAAAUGAUUUCAGUUAUUUUAAAAGCACAUCUAAAUGAGUUCUGAGUUUAUAUCUUGAACAUGUUUCUGCAUUUCAUUCAUCCUUCCCCGCAGCGUGAUGGCACGCAAUGGCGGGGAGAAGAAAUCGAGCCCAGAAUCUCGGUUACGAGUAAAACACUCUUCACUCUCUAAAAGUCAUCAUGAGGCACGAAUGAUAACAAAUUCCUAACAUUCUACUGGAGAAGGACUUGGGUUAAGGCACCCAAUUAGGCAUCAAGCUCGUCAUUCAUGUAAGUUGACACACAAGAUACUUUUUUGUAGCUCCGUGUGCUUUGAAAAAAAGCCAGUUUUCCAAAGCUGCAAAUAGCAACUUCAGCUUUUUCCUUUAAUUUCAACUUAUUCUCACAGCAGCUUCCAAAAUAAGCAUUUUUUUUUCAGUUUACCAAACACCUAAAACCCUCACAACUUUUAUUCAUGGGUGCUUUUUUUUUUAAGCAUUCACUUCCAAACAACCCCUUAAUCGUUACCACACAGAACAAAACAAAACAAAAAGGCAAGAAGAACAUCGGAAGUGAAGGGCGCAGACAAUCCUUGUCCAUCCAAUAAUUUAGCCAAAAGCUACCUUACCUGCAGCCCUUUAAGUAAAACUUGUGAUAUCAAAAGCCUGAGAGUAUAUCUCCUCUCAUACACAAUUCCUCUAACACAUGGAGAGCAAAGAUCAGAAGAAACUUCACAUAGCCAUGUUCCCUCCCAUGGCUAGCCUACGGACACCUAAUGCCAUUUCUGGAGGUCUCCAAGUUCUUAGCUCAAAAGGGUCACCAAAUCUCUUUCAUCUCCACCCCCAAAAACAUCAAUCGCCUCCGAUCCUCCUCCUUUUCCCCGCUCAUCAAUUUCGUCGAGCUUCCUCUCCCCGCCGUCGACGGCUUACCGGAAUCCGUUGAGUCCACCUCCGAGCUACCAAUCAACAAAGUCCCUUACCUCAAAAAAGCAUACGACUUGCUUAAGCCUUCAGUCACGCAUUUCAUCCAACACUCGAGCGUCAACUGGGUCGUCCAUGACAUCAUUUGCUACUGGAUGCCCAGAGUCGCCACUCAGCUGGGAGUCAACUCGGUCUACUUCAACAUCACCAACGCCAGUACCUUGGCUUUCUUGGGUCCUCCGACCGAGUUACUCGGCGAUAAACGCAGGCGACCGGAGGACUUUACGGUCGUCCCCGAGUGGGUCGACUAUCCUUCCAACGUUGCUUUUAAGCAGCAUGAGAUGGUGAGCCACUGGGAUUGCAUGGACGAUGAGGUCUCCGAUUUUCAGAGACUCGCGGGUUCGAUUCAAGAUUGUAAUUUUGUGACUAUGCGGAGCUGCACCGAGUUCGAAUCUGACGCGGUGAGUUUGCUCAGGAAGAUCUACGGCAAACCCGUUGUUCCACUCGGGCUGCUUCCGCCUGGCUCAGCACCACAUCAGCAUGGCGUCGCUAACGAUCGAGGGGAUGACAAGUGGGAAGUGUUGAGAGAGUGGCUCGAAAGUAAGAAACCGAACUCGGUGGUUUACAUCGCCCUCGGCACCGAGGUGACUCUGAGUCAAGAGUUGAUGCACGAGUUGGCACAUGGGAUAGAGAAAUCCGGGUUGCCCUUUAUUUGGGUGGUCAACAAUCGCCCGUUGGUGGAGGGCGUGUUGGGCUCCGAUAUAAUUCCACUCGGGUUUGAAACACGAGUAGAGGAUCGAGGCUUGGUCUUGAGAGGUUGGGCCCCACAACUUAAGAUUCUAGGUCAUAUUUCGAUCGGAGGUUUCCUAACUCAUUGUGGUUGGAGUUCAGUUGUCGAGGCACUAGGGUACGGGCGGGCUUUGAUUUUGUUUUCGGGUGCUAAUUCCGACCAAGGGUUGAUCGCGAGACUAAUGCACGAUAAGCAGGUCGGGUUGGAGAUACCGAGGGACGAGCAAGACGGGUCGUUUACGAGUGACUCGGUGGCCGAGUUGAUUGGGCGAGUGAUGGUGGAGAAAGAAGGUGAGUCCAUAAGGUCAAAUGCACGGGCCAUGAAGGAGAUAUUUGGCAAUGUAGAGUUGAACAACAAGUGCUUGGACGAGUUCACUCGGGUCCUUGAAACCUGGCCCAAAUAAUUGGUGGCUGGCUUUUUAUUUGUCUGUUUCUUCUUUCUACCGACAAAAUUAAAACUAAUUAGUGUGAAAUUGAGGAGGCUUAAUCUUUAUUUAUUUGUGGUUGUGCUUGAUUUGAGGAUUGUAUUUUUUGAAGGCCUAAUUGGAUAAACGGUGGUGCUAAAGUAAUUGGAAGAUAUGUUUCAUGGUAAAAACGAAAAGAAAGAAAAUAGGAUUUAAGCUUUUGUGGUGGUAUUGUUAACAAAUUUAGUCCAAAAAUAAUUUUAUUAAAUGUUUGUUAAACACAUGAUAAAAAUGUAAUUUAACGGAAAAAUUAUUUUUGGACUAAAUUUACUAACAGACUACACCACGAGGGUUUAAAUUCUAUUUUUUUUCUCACUGGGUCAUCUUCCGAUUAUCUUGUCACCCACAAGUACCAUUUAUCCGAUUAGGUCUUUUUUGAAAAGCAUUACAUAUGUGUUUAUGAAACUGUUGAGAUGGGUAAGCAAAUGCUUAUACAGUAAACACUCUUUGGUGUUUGCAAUUGAAAUGGUUAUUUUGGAGCAAAAAUUGAGUUUAUACCUUGAAUAUGUUUCUGCAUUUCAUUCAUCCUCCCCCUCUGCAUGAUGGCACGUUGAUGGCGGGGAGAGGAAAUCGAGCCUCGGUUCUCGGGUACAUGAGUAAAACACUCUUCACUCUCAAAAAGUCAUCCUGAGGCACGAAUGAUAACAAUUUCCUAACAUUCUACUCGGGGAAGGAUUUGGGUUAAGCCGCCCAGUUAGGCAUCAAACUCGUCAUUCAUGUAAGGUGAACACGAGACCUUCCGCUUACAUGUGAGGAGGACUAGACUGUAGUGUGAUAGUGGCGUCCGACAAAACAAAUCUACAAAACGAGUGUUUAAUGACUGUAAAGCUAUAGCUUAAUUAGGUGGAAUCAUCAAAUUACAUCACUUAACCUCUCAAUGUGUAGGCAAGCAAUUGGCCAUGUAUUUAGAUUAGAUAAAUAGAAGAUAGUCUGUAUAUAAAUUAGAACCAAACAGAUUGUUUAUUAAUGACCUGCUCUAUAUACAUAUGUAUUACUUUGCAACCACCAGAGAACACUAUUUGACAACGAAAGAGAAUGAAAUGCCUCAUCAUUGAGAAAAAUUGAUAGCAUGAUUGUUCUUGAUCCUUAAUAAAAAGGAAAAGUACUAAUUUUCAGAAAGGUAACUGAAUCACAUACUUUCAGUAGUUACAUGAUUGAUUAACUUAAGUAAAAUAUGGUUGAAUUCAUAAUUAGCUUUAAUUAGUCACUCAAGCUUUUAAACUUGUGUAAAAGCUUCAAGCAAUCUUAAAUACUUUCCUUUUCAAACCUUUUUCGUCUCUGUAAAUUGAUCUAAACAAAACUUUAAUUAAGCAUUCAAGCUUUUAAACCUCUGCAAAACCCUUAAGGGCACGUUUGUUUGACAUGAUUAGCAAGGCUUGGACUGGACUAGACUAUAGUCCUGUGUUUGGUGUGCAACCGGAUUAGCUUUAAUGAGCUUAACCCGGACUCGCUUGGACUAAGGACCUCCUUAGGUGGUCUUCGCGAGCAACCCCAAAGCCCAGUGGAUUCGUAAGCCAGAGCAAACCGAGAGAGUUUCUGCCUUCCCUUCGUCCUGUUUUCCCUUCGUCCUCAUCUCUACGUUCCCUCUCAUCUUCGUUGCCGUGCUCUCUCAUCUUCGUCCUCCUUACCCUCAUCUGAGCGUCUUCCUGUCUCUGCAUCUGCUCGCCUCAUCUGAGUUGUACGGUAAACUUCGAUUCUUCUAUUAAUUGCAUGUAUUUGUGUUGCAGAUGGUAAUUUUACUGAGUUUUAUGUGAUUUGAUUGUUUUGGGUUUGAUAAUUUUUGAAUCAUAGAGAUCUGCACUUGAAUAAAUUAGGGUUUUGAUAUUUAGGUGAAAUUGAAAUUAGGAUUUGGGCUUUCAUAAGAUGAGAUGGAACUUGGGAAUUUAGGAUGUCAAUGUUGUAAAACUUGGAAGUCCUACCCACAUGUUGUUUUCGAUUUUUAAAAAUUGGGGUUUCAACAAUGGGAGUACUCUGUGCGUGUGUGUGUGUGUGUUUCUGUGUGUGUGUCUCUGUGUGUGUGUAUAAUUUAUGUGUAUGUCAGUACCAAAAAUCCUCGUCUCCAAGCAUACUCUCUCCAAGCACCUGUUUCACUGUAUGUUUCUAUCUGCCAAAUUAGGAUGAAUUGAUGAGUUCGUACAGAAGAGUUUCCUCUUCUCGAUUUUAUGUGUUUGUGUGUGUUUGUGUAUGUAAGUUCUCCGUGUGUGUGUGAGUGUGUACUAUGUGUGUGUAAGUGUACUCUGUGUGUGUGUGUUUGUGCACUCAUUAACGUGGGGGGGGUGUGUGUGUGUGCAGUGUGUGUGUGCAGUGUGUAUGCAGUAUGUAUGCAAUAUGUAUGCAGUAUGUAUGCAGUGUGUGUGCAGUGUGUAUGCAGUGUGUAUGCAGUAUGUAUGUAGUGUGUGUGCAGUGUGUGUGCAGUGUGUGUGUAUGCAGUGUAUGCAGUGUGUGUGUGUGUGUGUAUGCAGUGUGUGUGUGUGUGCAGUGUGUGUGUGUGUAUGCAGUGUGUGUGUGUGUAUGCAGUGUGUGUGUGUGUGUAUGCAGUGUGUGUAUGCAGUGUGUGUGUGUGUGCAGUGUGUAUGCAGUAUGUAUGCAGUGUGUGUGUGCAGUGUGUGUGUGUGUAUGUAUGCAAUAUGUGUGUGUGUAUGCAGUGUGUGUGCAGUGUGUGUGUGCAGUAUGUAUGCAGUGUGUGUAUGCAGUGUAUGUGUGCAGUGUGUAUGCAGUAUGUAUGCAGUGUGUGUGUGUGCAGUGUGUGUGUGCAGUGUGUGUGUGUGUGUGUGUAUGCAGUGUGCAGUGUGUGUAUGUAUGUGUGUGUAUGCAGUGUGUGUGUGUGUGUAUGUAUGUAUGCAGUGUGUGUGUGUGUGUGUAUGCAGUGCAUGCAGUGUGUGUAUGUAUGUAUGCAGUGUGUAUGCAGUGUGUGUGUGUAUGCAGUGUGUGUGUAUGUGUAUGUAUGUAUGCAGUGUGUGUGUGUGUGUAUGCAGUGUAUGCAGUGUGUGUAUGUAUGUAUGCAGUGUGUGUGUGUGUGUGUGUGUAUGUAUGCAGUGUGUGUGUGUGUACUUGGUUUAUAACCAUGAUAUUACAAUGUGAAUGUUUUGUAUUGUGUGGGGUUGAUGCUGAAUUGCAAUUUUUUGUGGUUGUUGGUUGCAAAGAAGAAGAGCAUAAACGGAAGGCUAAGGCUAAGGCUACUGCAUUACAGGUGUCCUUUAAUUUCCCUCUUCACAUGCAAUGCCUAGCAAUGAUAGCAAUCCUCAUACUAGUGUUCUUAGACACAUGUUUAUAGAUGUAUAAGAGUAGAACAUUUUUUUUCAACGCCACCUGUAUAUUUGUUGCCUCGGGUUAAUGAUAACUUUUUUUUUUUCAACGCCACCUGUAUAUUUGAUGCCUCGGAUUGUGACUUCGCUAGUUACUUUGAUCUAGUUCAUUUCGUAUCAUAAUCACUUCAUUUCCAUCACCCUUAAUAACAGUAAAUAUUACAUAUAUAAUGAUCUAGUUAAUUUGUUUUUUUGUUUUUGUUUUUGUUUGGAUAGAUAUGGAUCGAAGGAAGCUUUUAUUGAUCUUAUUGUUAGAGAUGUCUUAUUUGGAGACAAUUUGCAUUUGUACGAUUCUUGUGUUGAUGAUGCUACGUGGCAAACAGAGACAUGUUGAACGACCCACAUUGACUAACCGUUCACUUAUUAUACGAGAUAUUAGUUUGUGUUAUCUGAAUGGUAUAAUAGGGAAUACUGAUACUGAAUGUGUCAACGAAUUGAGAAUGGAUAGAAGGACUUUUGGCAUAUUAUGUGACUUACUUCGUCAAGAUGGGAGGGUAAAAACUGAUGGUUUGGUGUCUGUAGAGGAGCAUGUGUGUAUGACUUUACAAAUAUUAGCACAUCAUACUAAGAAUCGUAGUGUUGGCGGUAGAUUUUAUAGGUCGGGAGAAACUAUAAGUAGGUAUUUCAAUAGCGUAUUGCAAGGAAUUUUACGAUUACAAGGUAUCCUACUAAAAGUCCCUCAGCAUGUGCCUAUUGAUUCUACAGAUCCUAGGUGGCGAUGUUUUAAGGUAUGAUGAGAAUUUUUUUUUCAUUUUCCCUAAUCUUUAACUCUUCAUUCCCUUUGUAUAAAUUAACAAAAACUUUUUUUUUUUUUAAGAAUUGCUUGGGAGCAUUGGAUGGAACACACAUUGAUGUGCAUGUACCUGAAAUUGACAAACCAAGAUACCGAACAAGAAAGGGUCGAGUCGCAACUAAUGUGUUAGGUGUGUGUUCAGGAGAUAUGCAGUUCAUAUAUGUGUUUCCGGGUGGGAGGGUUCCGCAUCAGACUCUAGAGUGCUACAUGAUGCAAUUACUAGGCCUAAUGGUUUUAAGGUACCAGCGGGUAAGACUAUUACUUAGUCUCAACUUUGUAAGUUAGGUCUAGUUCUGUUUGUCAACUACAAAACACUAAUAAGGUCUGUUUUUUUUUCAUCAGGUUAUUAUUACCUUGUAGAUGGUGGUUAUACAAAUGGUGAAGGAUUCCUUGCACCCUAUAGAGGAAUACCUUAUCAUUUAUCUGAAUGGGAGAGACGAACACCUUCUAAUAAGGAAGAAUAUUUUAACAUGAAGCAUUCUAAGGCAAGGAAUGUAAUUGAACGCUGUUUUGGCUUGCUAAAAGGAAGGUGGUCGAUACUAAGGAGUCCAUCUUUCUAUCCGAUAAGGACACAAGGUCGAAUAAUUACCGCUUGUUGCCUACUACACAAUCUUAUUAGGCAAGAGAUGUAUGUAGAUUCAAUGGAGAAUUUGCCAAUAAUAGAAGAUGGACAAAAUACAGAAGAAGGUGAAUAUGUUGGUAGUGUUCAAACAUUUGACCAGUGGACUGCAAUGAGGAAUGACAUAGCUCAGGAAAUGUAUAAUGAGUGGAGAGCAAUUAGGAACCAGCAACCGAACUAGCUAUAUGUGUUAAUGAUAACAUUUUAUUUUAGUAUUCAUUUUUAUCAUGCAUUUGUUAGAUAUUAGCACAAUGAUUGGAUGGUAUGCAAAUUAAUUGGAUAUUAUGCAAGUUGAUUGGAUAUUAUGCAAAUUGAUUAUUUGUAUGGUAUUUUCCUUCAUUAAAAUAUUUUUUGUUUAGGUAUGGAUAACGAAAAUAUUUUGAAUGCUACUCAAGAGCCAAAAGGAAGAAGGCGUAAAUGGGAAGCAUUUGAGGAAGAAGUAUUACUAGGAGUUCUUGAGGAUUUUGUUGCUUGGAAGCAACGGUGUGACACCGGUGCUUUCAAACAAGGUACUUUGGUUGAAAUAGCAAAAGCUGUCAAUGUUUUAUGUCCUCAUUCAAAUAUUAAGGCAAAUCCACAUAUUGAGUCCAAGUUGAAGAAAUGGAAAAAAACAUAUAGUAUGGUCGUUGACAUGAUAAACACAAGUGGAUUUGCAUGGAAUGAUGUCAAAAAGUGCGUUGAAGUUGACAGUGAUGACGCAUGGCAAACUUAUGUGCAGGUUCAUAUCCUAUUUUAUUAUACAUUAGUUAUAUUCUUGCUGCUAUAUUUGUUACGCAUGCUAAAUUUUAGUUUUGCUAUGUUGAUAUAAUCUUAGAGAAAUAAAGAAGCCGAUGGACGGAGAAGCAAACAUUUUCCACUGUUUGAUAGAUUUGCAUAUAUAUUUGGAAAAGAUCGGGCUACGGGUAAUGUAGCCGAAACCCCUGCUCAAAUGGUGGAGGAACAAAGUCAUGAUCAUGUUGGUGAAAGUGAUAUUGGAGAUGAAAAUUUUGUUUCUUCAAUGAACCAACAAAGCCAACAAAGCACCCCAUCUGAAAAUAGCCAAAAAAAGAGGAAAAGAACUGUGGGAAGUUCAAGUGAUGGAACCGAGACAAUUAUCAGUGGACUGAAAGAUUUUUAUGUUGAAAGUGGGAAGAGGAUGCAAAUGGUAACUGAAGCUUUAGUUCAAGGUACUGCAGAUCAUACUGACAUAACUAAUGAACUUGAAGCAAUGGGUCUCUCUCCUAUGGAUCAAAUUGAUGCAUUGUCUCUUAUUUUGGAUAAACAAAAAAAUGUGGGAGUGUUCAGGGCAAUCAAACCGGAACUCAAGAAAGUGUUCGUCCAAAAGCUUUUAAGCGACAACGCAAGCGGAUGAGGAUUUUGGCUAAUGUUAACAUGGAUGUAUUUUAUUAAUGUUAACAUGGAUGUAUUUUUAUUAAUCAUCAUACAAUCUUAUGUUAUGGCUUAUAACUUAGCUUUGCACUAGUAUUUUGGCUUAUGUUAACUAGCCAUUUUGUAAAUAUAAUUAUUUUGGAAAGAUCUAUUUUGGCUAAUGUUAACUAAUGUUAACUAGGAUUUUCUAAAUUAUGGAGAUCUUCUUAUGUACUUGUAUUUGUUGAAGUUGCAUGUAUUGGGCACUAUUAAUUUUUCUUCUGUUGGGUGAUAGAGUUUUAAACCAAGCUACAUUUUGCAAAUUAAACCCAAUUCUAUUAGCAGGUAAUAGAAACAAAACAAUUGUCAAUUUUUUUUAAGAUUCAUAAUAUACAUGGCAAAAAUAUGCUCCAAUUAACCCAUAUCAUGAGAUUUGUAGCAUUACUCUAUUACACAAUGGCAAAAAUUUGUAGUCCUAGUCUAAGCAAACACAAAUCUGGUGAACAGUAUUGUUUUUCUUAUCCUGCUUCUUAGUCCGACAUUACACCAAAUGCUUCACUAAGUUAGUCCAGCUUAGUCCAGUCUAAGCCAGUCCAGCUUAGUCCCGGCAGCUAGUCCAGUCCGAGACAGUCCGGUGCAACAAACGCACCCUAAGUGAUGUUAAAUACUUUGCUUUUGAAAGCUUUUUGGUUUCUGGACAUUGAUUUAAACCAAUAACGAAAACAACUCUAAAAAAUAAUUGGAAAACAAAUUGAAUCUUUUUUUUUUAAGAACGAUUAGAAAGUACCACAACACUUACCAAUCAGAAGCAUGGCGAAAAAUGGUAUCAACUCAAUGCACAACGCAUUAACUCAAGACACAUCCAAAUUAUCAGGGUUUCUUUCAAACAAAUACAAUUUUGUAGCAAAAAAUUAUACACACGGUAAACCAAUUUGUUACAGCCAGCAUAAACACAACAGAGAACCAAAUUGCCACAGUUUUUUUCAGGGUUCCUUUCAAACAAAUACAAACUGAGAAUCGAAAAUUACACGUAGUUGUUGUAAAACAUACCCAAGCUCAAUAUAAUUUUCUUUGUCAAUAAUCUGAAGAGGCAGCAUGCGAUUAGUCACCAAUUUCACAAAAAAUUUGUCCCAACCUGCAGAUCCGCAGAAAAAACAAAAACAAAGACCUUAAAUUUACCUUGGAUCUGUCGAUUCUCAACCUCAUCCCUCUCGAUCUCUCUCUCCCCCAGCCUUGUGAUUUUUUUGAUUUUUUUUUGUUUGUUUGGUUUGAGAAUUGAGGUUUUAAAACAAUUGGUUUUUGGUUCUGGUGUCCGAGUCGAAGAUCUAGGAUUCUGGAGGAUAGCGAGUCCGAGAGGGGUUCAAAACCGGAAAAAAAAAGUUUAAAAAAAAAGGAUCUGUGGACCGUCCUGAACCGGCCCGUUUUAAACAGGCCGAGUUAGGUCCGGUUCUAAUGAUCAGAUUUACGAUACCCGGCCGCCCGGUUCUGUUUUCUUUUUAAACGGAUCCGGUCCGAUCCCUCCAAAUUUGGGGCCGGGCCAGCCCGUGCCCACCUACACUCAAGUGCAAUCGCAUCCCUCUUUUCCUCCGUCUUUCUCUGAAAUGGAAGGGGACGAUCAACACGUGGGUUUUUGCAUUUAUUAUCUCUUUGUAGUUAGCUUUUUUCUUUUGGUUUUUUCUCGAGAAAAUUUUAACGAAAAAUUCGCAGUACUGUUUACAUUAAUAAAAAAAUCAUAUUUUUACACUACAAACUCAAAUAUGGUACUAUUCAUUUUACCCUUUAUUUUAUCCUUAUCGUUAAAGCUCAAAAUUUUCAAACCUUUUCGUUAGUUUUCCUUUUUAUCAAAGGCUUCGGAUGUAGCAACAAAUGAGUGUACAUAUUUUUUAAUAUUUUUUUGGUCUUCCUACCAGCUAUACAGUGUAAAUAUUUAUUGUUUGUAGUGGCACAAACCAUGUGGCCCGGUUUUAAUCACAUUUUUUUUAAUAUUUUUUUUUGUCUUCCCACCAGCUAUACACUGGUUUAAAAAAUUAAGAAGGUAUAAAUUUUUAUUGUUUGUUGUGCCAUCAACCACGUGGCCUGGUUUUAAUCACAUUUUUUAAAUAUUUUUGUGUCUGCCCUAUACAUGGGUUUACAAAAUUAAAAAAAAAAUCCAUAGAUGGAAGAACAGGUGAAUAUUAAGGGCAAAUUCGGAAUUUUACUGUACUAAAAGACAAAAAGUAAUGGCUGAAGAUUAACUUGAGGGGCAUUUUGGUCAGCACACUACCCUAGAAGAGUAACCAGAUGUUUGGAUUUUAGUAUAUAUAGAAUAUAAUUUCGUACUUUUUAUAUAAAUAUAUAUAUAUAUUUUUUAAAUGAUCAGUUGGUAGUUUCAUCAUUAACAGUUCAUCAUUUCGGGAUCUGGACUAAUCUCAUACUUAGUUUAAUCAUAUUAACACUAAUCUAAUACCUCCUUUUACCAUUAAACUAACCACCAAAUAUUAAUCACAUGCGCCAUGAGUGAUUAAUUAAUUGUUUAGAUGUUAAUUAAUCUCUCACACCAUAAGAAAUCCAAUAAUUUAGCCAAAAGCUACCUUACCUGCAGCCCUUUAAGUAAAACUUGUGAUAUCAAAAGCCUGAGAGUAUAUCUCCUCUCAUACACAAUUCAUCCAACACAUGGAGAGCAAAGAUCAGAAGAAACUUCACAUAGCCAUGUUCCCAUGGCUAGCCUACGGACACCUAAUGCCAUUUCUGGAGGUCUCCAAGUUCUUAGCUCAAAAGGGUCACCAAAUCUCUUUCAUCUCCACCCCCAAAAACAUCAAUCGCCUCCGAUCCUCCUCCUUUUCCCCGCUCAUCAAUUUCGUCGAGCUUCCUCUCCCCGCCGUCGACGGCUUACCGGAAUCCGUUGAGUCCACCUCCGAGCUACCAAUCAACAAAGUCCCUUACCUCAAAAAAGCAUACGACUUGCUCAAGCCUUCAGUCAUGCAUUUCAUCCAACACUCGAGCGUCAACUGGGUCGUCCAUGACAUCAUUUGCUACUGGAUGCCCAGAGUCGCCACUCAGCUGGGAGUCAACUCGGUCUACUUCAACAUCACCAACGCCAGUACCUUGGCUUUCUUGGGUCCUCCGACCGAGUUACUCGGCGAUAAACGCAGGCGACCGGAGGACUUUACGGUCGUCCCCGAGUGGGUCGACUAUCCUUCCAACGUUGCUUUUAAGCAGCAUGAGAUGGUGAGCCACUGGGAUUGCAUGGACGAUGAGGUCUCCGAUUUUCAGAGACUCGCGGGUUCGAUUCAAGAUUGUAAUUUUGUGACUAUGCGGAGCUGCACCGAGUUCGAAUCUGACGCGGUGAGUUUGCUCAGGAAGAUCUACGGCAAACCCGUUGUUCCACUCGGGCUGCUUCCGCCUGGCUCAGCACCACAUCAGCAUGGCGUCGCUAACGAUCGAGGGGAUGACAAGUGGGAAGUGUUGAGAGAGUGGCUCGAAAGUAAAGAAACCGAACUCGGUGGUUUACAUCGCCCUCGGCACCGAGGUGACUCUGAGUCAAGAGUUGAUGCACGAGUUGGCACAUGGGAUAGAGAAAUCCGGGUUGCCCUUUAUUUGGGUGGUCAACAAUCGCCCGUUGGUGGAGGGCGUGUUGGGCUCCGAUAUAAUUCCACUCGGGUUUGAAACACGAGUAGAGGAUCGAGGCUUGGUCUUGAGAGGUUGGGCCCCACAACUUAAGAUUCUAGGUCAUAUUUCGAUCGGAGGUUUCCUAACUCAUUGUGGUUGGAGUUCAGUUGUCGAGGCACUAGGGUACGGGCGGGCUUUGAUUUUGUUUUCGGGUGCUAAUUCCGACCAAGGGUUGAUCGCGAGACUAAUGCACGAUAAGCAGGUCGGGUUGGAGAUACCGAGGGACGAGCAAGACGGGUCGUUUACGAGUGACUCGGUGGCCGAGUUGAUUGGGCGAGUGAUGGUGGAGAAAGAAGGUGAGUCCAUAAGGUCAAAUGCACGGGCCAUGAAGGAGAUAUUUGGCAAUGUAGAGUUGAACAACAACAAGUGCUUGGACGAGUUCACUCGGGUCCUUGAAACCUGGCCCAAAUAAUUGGUGGCUGGCUUUUUAUUUGUCUGUUUCUUCUUUCUACCGACAAAAUUAAAACUAAUUAGUGUGAAAUUGAGGAGGCUUAAUCUUUAUUUAUUUGUGGUUGUGCUUGAUUUGAGGAUUGUAUUUUUUGAAGGCCUAAUUGGAUAAACGGUGGUGCUAAAGUAAUUGGAAGAUAUGUUUCAUGGUAAAAACGAAAAGAAAGAAAAUAGGAUUUAAGCUUUUGUGGUGGUAUUGUUAACAAAUUUAGUCCAAAAAUAAUUUUAUUAAAUGUUUGUUAAAUACAUGAUAAAAAUGUAAUUUAACGGAAAAAUUACUUUUGGACUAAAUUUACUAACAGGAGACAUACACCACGAGGGUUUUUAAAUUCUAUUUUUUUUCUCACUGGGUCAUCUUCCGAUUAUCUUGUCACCCACAAGUAUCAUUUAUCCGAUUAGGUCUUUUUUGAAAAGCAUUACAUAUGUGUUUAUGAAACUGUUGAGAUGGGUAAGCAAAUGCUUAUACAGUAAACACUCUUUGGUGUUUGCAAUUGAAAUGGUUAUUUUGGAGCAAAAAUUGAGUUUAUACCUUGAAUAUGUUUCUGCAUUUCAUUCAUCCUCCCCCUCUGCAUGAUGGCACGUUGAUGGCGGGGAGAGGAAAUCGAGCCUCGGUUCUCGGGUACAUGAGUAAAACACUCUUCACUCUCGAAAAGUCAUCCCGAGGCACGAAUGAUAACAAUUUCCUAACAUUCUACUCGGGGAAGGAUUUGGGUUAAGCCGCCCAGUUAGGCAUCAAACUCGUCAUUCAUGUAAAGUGAACACGAGACCUUCCGCUUACAGGUGAGGAGGACUAGACUGUAGUGUGAUAGUGGCGUCCGACAAAAACAAAUCCACAAAACAAGUGUUUAAUGACUGUAAAGCUAUAGCUUAAUUAGGUGGAAUCAUCAAAUUACAUCACUUAAAACCAAUGAUAUUUCCGUACCACAAAAAAUACAAGAGCGUGUGAUCUCUGAUAGAUAAUUCAAGAACAAUUCUCCAUAUCACCAACAGAUCCAGUCUGAAGUGGCUGUAUAACUACUAUUAUUAGCAAAAUGAGCAAAAUAUAUUUUCGCUUCGGUUGCACCUCACUAGCGAAAGGAAGUAUGGCGAAGAAACUUUACAAACGGUAUAGGAUUGUAUCUCACCCCACCAUCACGACUUCACCUUCUGAACCUGUCAAAUUCGGAAAUCGUCAACAUAUAGUCAAAAGGAAGUGGAAAAUCUAUGCAAUAGGUGAAAACAAUUCGGAGUUUUGGAUAUUACAUUGCUCCAAAAUCUCGUUUGCUAACAGCAGCAUUGAUUCUGUGUCUUCAACCAUGAAAGAAAUCCUCUCUGCCUCUUUCAUUUGUUCUGCUGCCAGAUAUGAUUUGUAUUCUGCUUCGGCAAUGCUCUGUGCAGCAGCCCGUGCCGAUUCCUCCAACGUAUCACUACCAACGGUCACAUAUACUGGACUCUGCGAUUGCUUUGGUUGGAUGUCAUUUUGCAUCGGGGCAGGUGCUUUCAUCACACUCAAGGGAUCGGUUUUCACCUUGUAGCACUGUUGAAUCUGCAUUAGGAUGACAUGGUAAUUUAUAUAAGCUGAUAUUCAAUAUUGAUUUCAGCAUGCAAAGUAAUCUGGCAAAAAGUCCGUAAAAAGCAAAGCUUGGGAAACAAACAUCGAUAGAGCCAGAUUAAUCCUGGGUUAGAAAUAUCGAGUGAAUAAUUUGAGCUAAAAAUAUUAGAAAUAUCAAGCAUCACAUUCAAGCAAUCACCUUUUCAAGUUUGUCUUGCUGAACCAGCCUUCUCAACCUACCAGUUAAUGACCUUCUAAAAUUUUGGGGGACCUCAUUCCUUUGCUGCAGGAGUCAUUUUGUCAUGAGAAUUGAGUGGUCAUAAAACGUGAAAAUCACAAUUUAGCGUAACUUCAUCAGAGACAUCAACUAUGAAUUGGAAGCUUUUCUUCGUAAAUUCUUUCAAUCUCGUUCUCACCCAGCAAAAAGAAGUAUAAGAGAUAUUUCUGAAGGUAACCCAAAUAUAAUGAGCUCGACAGGUAUUGAAAAACUAACUUAGAUUUAGGUAUUAUGAUUAUCUAUAAAGUAACAAAUAUGAGACAGAAAAGGUCCAUUGAUAUUCUACAAAAUGCUAUAUUUUCAAGAAGUAAAACAAAGUCGAUGUUUUUCGUAGCUCUAGCAUAGGAACACGUGGUGUACCAUGAUUAAUUGAAACAUAAAUCUACAAGAGGUUAUCUAGGAGCAAACUAUUAUCCUCCGUGACAAUAUUACUUCCCUUCAAGAGUUUAUACAACUAUUAUCAUUAUUGACAAUAUUACUCCCUUCAACAUGCUAAUAUACAACUUCCUCCGCAGUGAAUCAAUUAACAAAGUCUCAACGAUUCUUUUAAUUUCAUUUCUAAGAAAUAAAAGAAGAGAGCAUAAAUUUCAGACAUACCUCAAUAAAGCUAGCAAUAGCACUAGUGUCCAAUCCAUUUGGAUCUGUCGUGGCAGCAAGUGCUUCGAAAAUCAUUGCAUUGCACCUAAUAAUAGAAGAAAAUGAUUGACCAAGAUGAAAUUCAAAAAAUAAAAUAACUCGUACAAAAAUGAUAACAAUAAUAAAAGCAGUCUGGCUAUUGGAGGUACAGAAAUUGAUAAAAUGAAAUGGAUAAUGACUGUAGACAUAAAAACCACAAUGUACAAAUAAACCAUUCAAUAUACUGUGUUCUUAAUUGUAACCAAGAGAUGCUAUGUUUGACAUGAGAGGAUCAAAAGUAAUAAAGCAUAGGAUUUAUGGCUGAGAUGAAACUAAAGCAUCAUGUGAUAUGGUUCCGGGAAAAGAUCAAAGCAAGAUCUGCUCACUAGGCUAAUUAUUGCAUCAGUGUAAAUAUUACCACAGAAAACAGUACUACAGUACAGAUUAUGAUAAUAGAGUUCCGUAUGCACCAGAAUUGCACCUUCUAUUAGUUUGGGUAUUUCUUCAUUGCCUCAUUGAGGUUGUCUAAGAAACUAUGCCAUGAAACCAUGCAUUCUUAUUGCAUGCAAGAGGAAAGCGUACAAAGCUAAGAGGUCAGAAACCUUAUCAACUUAGUAUGAUUAUAAUGUUUAAAAAGAUGAUCACCUGACAUCUAGUUAUUAAUCAAAGAAACCUUGGCACCAUCACCUAUCAACUCCUCCCCUUUACCCUAACUGAUUAGUCAGUUUCCCCCGCCCCAUAAUUGUGCCAGUCUAUAAGAGCCUAAAGAGUUAUGUCAUUCCACAUUCUAAUUGUUUUUUCCACUCAUAAUGCCUCCUAUGGGUUUUUCGCAGAAUGUAUAACUGCAAAUACAUUCUGCGAAAACCCCAUGUAGUAGCCACAUAUGAUUUCUAUUGUAUUGAUAAAAGACAAAGGCAAGGAACAAAAAGAUUCAUACACUGGAGCAGGUAUUGCAUCAGAUAAGCCAGUCGAGGAAUCAUCCGCAACUGGAGUUGUAUCGCGUCUGACUGGAGUUUCUGUUGAUGGCUCGCGUUUGAAUGGAGUUGCCGCUGGUGCAUCGCGCCUGACUGGAGCUUCUGCUAGUGAAUCACGUCCGACUGGGGCUGCCGCUGGUGAAUCAAGUCCGACUGGGGCUGCCGCUGGUGAAUCACGUCUAGCUGGGGUUGCUGCUGCUGCUGCCGGUGAAUCGCGUCUGACUGGAGCAGCAGAAGAAGUCUGGGGAACGGAUACUGAAGCAACAGCAACAUCUGGGUUUGUUCUUGCUUUGGGCCUUGAUUUUUCCCGAGGCCCCGUGCUACUAACAGUCAUAUUCCUCCAUUUGUCCUAUACAAGCAAAAAUCAAUUUGAACACAAACCAUAGACAUAGUAAUCAUCUAGAAAAUGUUUCAUACCACAUUAGAUACAGUCUACCAAUUGUUCUGAUAUAAAGCAAUAUUAGUUCAUUCAAAUAGAAUUCCGCAACAGGCGGGCGAAUUGGCGAAUCUGAAAUGCUUUCAACACAAAAUUACGCCUUCCAACGAUUUUCGCACACCAUUCUCAAAAUUCAAAACAAGAAUAAAUAACAUUUAGCCAACUGAUGAGGAAAAUUGGAAAAUCAAGUAACUCAAGGAGCGGCUUCCAACUUUCCGAUAAGUGAGCGAAUUUCGAAUCAAAGUCCUGAAUCGACAAUCACUAUGCCAGAAACAAUUAGCUAUUCGUAGCUCUAACGGGUUCACCACUUUAAUCCAAAACUCCACAAAUUCAGACUCGGCCAUGCAUCAUCAUUGUAAUUAAUUUUGAUGUAGACCAGGCAAUUUGCAUUCAGUAAUAUCUCAUUUGAUCCAAAAAAAUAAAAAUAAAAACAAUCAAACCCAUUAUUUCAACAGCACAAAACAUUCGAAAACAACCACCACAAUAUGCAGUAUAUUUAAAUUCUGGAAUUUCCAUAUACACAUAGCGAUAUAUAUAUUAUACAUAAAUAUCGAGAGAGACCUUGAGAUCAAUAUUGGAGCGAGAAGAGAGAAAGGGGUUGAACUCGGGGUCCUUCUGGAUGUCCUUCCACUUGCCAGUGCCGUGUUUCCUAACCCCCGCUCUCAGAGCUUCUUCUUCCUCCACCGUCCAUUUUUGCUUCGGAUUUCCCAUCUCUCUCUCUCUCUCUCUCUCUCUGUAUCAGGUAUCAGCAGCACAGAGCCUGUGACUGCCGCGAAGAAGCUUUCACGUUUUCGUUCUCAAAAACGAGGGUUGGCUUUCGUACCACUUCUUCAACUACAUAUUGAAUCAUAGACCGCACUUAAACGGCGCCGUUUUGAUCAGGACUCCCUACACAACUCAUAGGCCCGGUUGUAUAAAAACUUCGGUAGGCUAGUCUGAUUCGUAGGACAAGGCAGGACAACUCUUACAUCAUAUGGGAAAAACGUGGGGUCGAAUAGGAAGAGAAGAAAAAAAGUUUCAAAUUUUUAUAAAAUGUACGUUACGAGACGCAAUCAGACAUUUUUAACUAAUUUGUUCUCCUAUUUAUAAUAACAAAAAAGAAUUAAGCCUCUUCUAUGUAAUUUUUUUUUAAAUUACAAAACAAAAGUUAUUUUUUAAAAUGUAUUAAAUAUAUUGUUUUGAGUAAAGAUGCUUGCCACAUGAAAUAAUGAGAAAAGGGAAGCUUCAAUGGGAAAAUGUUUGGAGCAAUGAGGCUGCUAGCUUUCUUCUUUGCUUGCCAGUAUUUAUCUUUUUAUGGUAUGAUUAGUUGUAAAGGAUAAGAAUAUAAGUUAUGAGUAUCAUAUUUAUUUCAUAUCACUCUCAUUUUCAAAAAUGGAAAUAAAUAUGUUAACGUGAGAAGAUGUUUCAAGUUUGAAUUUCCGUUCUCAAUCCAAUCCUUUGAUCCCUUGUCAUCCUCACUCUCAUGAAACAUCUAAUAUUGAUUAGAAUGUGAGAAUCUAGCACUAAUUAACAACGGGCGAACAAAUGCAAAAUAUUUUGAGCACCAUAUGCAAUACUUCUAUCUCUAAUGUACGGUAUUCUCAACAUGUCCUUACAUGUGCGAUGUCUGUUUGUAUCUAACAUCUAUAUGAUUCUUGUUGAGCGCCAAUUGAAUUGUGUUGAAACAUUUGGUCUGUCACAUAAAUAGCAUCAGGGCAAGUUCUAUAUAUGGACUCAGGACUCUCAGGAGACCAAACGGAACGCAUGUGAAGGACCCAUGGGAAGCCUGCGAAAGAUCUAGGUUUUUCGGCUGCGGCAGUGCCUCCUUUGUUCAUUGGGAGAAAUUUUUAGUUGUGACGGAAACACAAGUGGUACACCAUGUGUUUUAAUAGAAAUGGUGGGAAAUUUUAUUUUUUAAGUUAUUAACUUUUUAGCACACAUAUCCCACUAUCUGUUUAGUGACACGUGGUGUACCACCCCUUGUACCGAUCACAUUGAAAAAUCUCUUGUUCAUUGGAGAAGAAGAUCAAUUUUUUAUUAUUUUUUUAAAUGACAUGGCCAAAACGACGACCUUUUGAGUUUGGCAAUUUAAAAAAAAAUCUUCUUUCCUGCUAAACAAACCCUACACCCGCUACCUUUCCAAAUCAAAAUUCUGAAAUUCAAACUCCAAAUUAUAACCCUUCAACCCUAACCCUAAACCACGCUAACUCUCUGCUCCACCAACACUUCUUGUUGUGCUGCCACUCGAGCCGUCAUAUUCAAACACCCACCUCUUAACAGUCAAUGUUAUUUUCGUCUGAAAUUUUCUUAAAAUUUCUACAUUAAACAUCCUGAAUGUUAAGAUCAUAAACUUGUUACUGAAUAGCGUGAUAUGAUACGAUACAAACAUGAGAUAUUUUAACUCGAAAAUCUUUUAAACGAUGGACAGACAAAAAUUUCAACAUUUUAUACAAGACUUUUCCGUCUUCAAUGCAUAAUAUAUCAAUUAGUUGGUAGGUAGGGGGAUUAGGGAAAUCACUCAUCUUACAUGAGCAAUGUAACUCCCACGCACACCCACGCAAAUUCAGACACACCCCAAGUUUACAAAACGGCAGCUGAUAAGGGAACACAAUCCGUAUUGAUAAGGCACACCUAGUUGAAGUUUCAGCCAAUGAUGUUUAUCCACGUGGCAAAUUCGGAUGACUUUCUUUGCAACGAGCAAAUAAAACGCCAACCAUUAACUCCCCUUCCCUAUCUCCAAGCGGUCAGAGUCUGAGCUUUAGCAGUGACAGCAGCUCUCUCAGAAACUCUCCGUCUCCGGUGGAUUUUCCGGCACUUCAGCUCACAAAAUCCACGUCCCCAAAAUACCCUUUUGCUCUGUCCCCCAAAGACUCCAACUUUUUCGGAAAAAACCAGUAUGAAUGCCAGGUUGUGAGUCCUGAAAGUUCUGAGGCGCGUAGGAGAUAUAAGCCGGUAUGGACUGCGUUGCAGCAAUGACGGCGUCGUUUUGCCCGACCUGGAGGGCGAGGAGAAGAGGAGGACUGGCGGGUGGAAAGGAAGGUCCUUUUUUCCGGUAUGGUUUGUGCAACAAGGUUUCUCUGCUGCGAGUGAGAGCGAGUGCAGGAGGCGAAGGGGGCGGUGUUGGGGUGGCGGUGAAGGAAGGGUUUGCGGACGAGGAGGAUUUCAUGAAGGGCGGCGGGCCGGAACUGCUCUUAGUUCAAAUGCAGCAGAAAAAGGUCAUGGAGAAGCAGUCCAAGCUCGCUGAAAAGGUUUUUAACUCACACAGAGUCUCUCUCCUUCCAUGGUUUUUAUUUGUAUUCAUAUUUUGGAAAAUAUGCGCGAAUAGACUCGGUUACGAAUUUUAAUGACACUACAUCGUAGUUUAUAUGGUACAUAGAUUAUUGUGGAUUACUUCGGACAAAAGUAUUCUUUUGACUAUGUUUGGUAGAAAAACGUAAAAGCACUUUUGAGUUGUCUGCACGAAGCACUUCCAGGUAAAACACUUGAAUUUUGAAUAAAAAUUCUAUAUGUUUAUAAUAAAAACACCUGUUAGAAUAAGCGCUUGCAAGCAAAAGUCAGAUUGGUGUCUGUCCAGUUUUAUUUUUGAUUAAAAGUUUAUAACCGGUUCUGUUUCCGCAUAUUUUCCGUUUGUAUUGGGGCAUGAAUGUUGGAGGAAACUUUAAAUCCGGAAACCCCAAGCCCAAUUUUGUGAUGCUGCUUAUGGAUUAAUUUGCAGCUACUGCCAAUACCAGUAGGAGAUAGUGUUCUGGAUUUGGUGGUGAUUGGUUGUGGUCCGGCAGGUCUUGCUCUGGCUGCAGAAUCAGCCAAGUUGGGAUUAAAAGUUGGGCUUAUUGGCCCUGAUCUCCCUUUCACAAACAACUAUGGUGUUUGGGAGGAUGAAUUCAAAGGUAUCUACCAUAUCUUGUUCGCUGCGUUAUUUGUGAACUACCCAAUUCAAAGGACUCAAAACUCUGCUCACAUUCAAUAUUCGCUUCUAUUUUUACAUGUCCAGAUCUUGGACUAGAAGGGUGUAUUGAGCAUGUUUGGCAGAACACCAUAGUGUAUCUUGACGGUGAUUCGGACCCCAUUAUGAUCGAUCGUGCUUAUGGUCGUGUUUGUCGAGACAUGCUACACGAGGAGCUCUUGAGAAAGUAAAUACAACCCUAUUCUACUACAUGUCUACUCGUUUUACGCUUGCAGGCAUUGUAAUUCUUUGAAGAUGCAUAAUUCGUAUUAAUUUUUAUUAGGUGUGUGGAGUCAGGUGUUUCGUACCUCGAUUCAAGGGUGGAAAGUAUUGUUGAAGCUAGCAAUGGGAUUAGCCUUGUAUCCUGUGGCCACAAUAUUGUUGUUUCGUGCAGGUAUGAUGGAAUUGCAUUUAUUCAGUUUAAAUUUUUGGUGAUGGUUCUACUUCUUCCAUACCUUGUUUCAAACAUCUAACUAGUAUUAUAGGCUUGCUACUGUUGCAUCAGGAGCUGCUUCGGGGAAGCUUUUGCAGUACGAGGUGGGUGGUCCAAAGGUGUCUGUCCAAACAGCAUAUGGUAUCGAGGUUGAGGUAGGAAUUAUGUUUCUAAAUUUUGCUGUACCCGGGGAUGACUAGUUCCUUAACUUCCUUUCGGCGCGUUUGAUGACUUUUUACUAUGUCUACUCUUUCUUACAAUUUCAGGUGGAAAGUAACCCAUAUGAUCCCGAAGUGAUGGUUUUCAUGGAUUAUAGAGACUACAUGAAACAAAAAGUUCGGUCUUCAGAAGCAGAAUAUCCAACGUUUCUUUAUGUCAUGCCCAUGUCUCCGACUAGAUUGUUCUUUGAGGUUUGCUCGAUGGACAUUACUUUGUUUAUUGCAUUACUUAUUCGUGUACAAAGUAUUUAGAGAAAUGGAUUUGCAGGAAACUUGCUUGGCUUCUAAAGAAGCCAUGCCUUUUGAUUUAUUGAAGAAAAAGCUCUUGUCACGGUUACAGACAAUGGGAAUCCGUAUUACAAAAACUUAUGAAGAGGUAAGUCUUAUGACAGACUACAUUGCUUACAACUUCUGAGAUGAACGACGAUUUUGUUCUGGAAUUAUGUCCGAACAAGGCUUCAUGCCUCGCCAUGUAGUGGCACAACAAUCACAUUUAUCUUGAAAGUUGACGCAGUUUUCUAAUCUCCAUUCUCAUCAAGCUGAUCGGGAGUUUGGUCUUGCUUACUUCAUAAUUCAAGGCAUAAUCUUUCAAUAAUUUAUAUAGGAAUGGUCUUGGAUUCCGGUUGGUGGUUCCUUACCAAAUACAGAGCAAAAGAACCUAGCAUUUGGUGCUGCUGCUUGCAUGGUACAUCCUGCCACAGGUAAUGAUUAAACCAAAUAAAUUCACCGGAUCAGUUCGCCAUUGUUUAAUCUACUGAUGCUUACGUUUUACCAUCAAACAGGAUAUUCAGUUGCAAGGUCUUUGUCGGAGGCUCCAAAAUACGCUUCUGUGAUUGCAACUAUUUUGAAGCCAGAUCAUAAUAAGGCCAUUCGCAGCCGCCAAAUAAGUAACGAGAACAUCUCGAUGCUAGGUAAGCGUUGGUUUGGUAUGUUUGGAACAGUUUUAUGUGUUGUGCAAACCAAAAUUACUAAAAUACUUGCAAGAACUAUGUGUUGUGAGCCUCAUAUACAUUUUCGGCACAUUCCCUGUCAUGAUAUUUGAAAGCUCCAAUCCACAUUUCCACUUAUUCGUUAAUUUGCAAGGCACAGAGUGAGCUGCAUCUACAUUUUUCUCUCUUUAAACAUCCAUCUGUAUCGUGUUUUUAUGCUCGCUUUCUUAUCACCGCUUAGCUAGCGUACUAUGUUUCGAGUGUCUUCUGCUAUAUAAGAUCAUUCGCUGUCAAUACACUAUUUCGCUUUCAGCAUGGAAUACACUCUGGCCGCAAGAAAGGAAACGCCAAAGAUCAUUCUUUCUUUUCGGACUAGCGCUUAUUCUGCAGCAGGACAUCGAGGGCAUCAGGAUAUUCUUUCACACUUUCUUCCGCUUACCCACCUGGUACGAUCAAUUUUCUUUAUCUUCCGCUUCACGAAGAAAACUUGAACAGGUUUCUUUGGAAAAACUAGACAAACUUGAAUGAUUGAUCAAUGUCUGUGCUUCGGUUGCAGGAUGUGGCAGGGUUUCCUCGGCUCUACGUUGUCCUCGGCUGAUCUCAUCCUUUUCGCGUUGUAUAUGUUUGUUUUAGCACCAAAUAACUUGAGAAAGAACCUCGUCAGACACCUACUUUCUGAUCCUUCCGGAGCCACUAUGAUUAGAACCUAUUUCACAUUCCAUUAGUCCUCCGGCAUAAUAACACAGUUUAGAGUACCCUAAGAUAUGAGGUCACUGCCUACUUUUGAAGGUCACUUGUUUUUUUUGGUGUAAAUAGUACAAAUGUGUGUUCCUUUGUUCCCGUUUAGAUUACUAAAGUGUUCCUAAAGGGGGUUUCAAUAUGUAUCGAGAUGUGAUUAGCAACGUAGUAAAUAAAGGUGGUUCGUCUGGAUCCAAUUUCACUAUUGUAAUUUGUAAUUAGCAAUUUUUGUGUUGAUUGUUUGGCAAGCACAAAACCCGGGAUCUCGAUAUAUAGCUUGAUAAUAAAUAAUAAUUUGAAAUGUCAACAAUUAUGUUAUUUAGACGUCAACAUUUGAUCGAUAAUGUUAUUAAUAUUGAAUCAAUAUAUCAAUAAUUAUUUGGUUUGAUUUUGAAAAUCUUCAUUUUAAUUAAUUGCAUAAAAAUAGUUGAAAUUUCACAUCUCAUGUCAUCUAUAAGAUCUUGGAGUCGACUCAAGCUGUAUCAAUAAUACUAAAGAUGUCAACUUUUAUUUAUCAAAGUGGAAAUUUCUUGUUUGAUGUAACGAAAUAAGUUUUAAAGUAGGCAUAAACAACUAUAUCGCUUCCAGGGGGGAAUUUACCUUUGGACCAUAUGGGUCAGCUGACCCCCGAAGCUCACAAACUUUCAUGGAAGAGCUGGGUUCUACUUUUUGUAAAUCUAAGAUGCCUUGAAAGUUGUCAAUCAACAUGCUCGUUCGAAAAUUGUUGGUAUCUAUUGACAGACAUGUAAUAUAACUUGAUAAAUAACCUCAGUUCUACCAAGCUUCGAUGAAAUGCUGAUUUCUAAAAAAAUUUGUGCGUUGCGCAUACUAUUCUUAUCGCCAAUUAUUAGUAGACACCAAACCAACAGAAUAUUGGACUUGAAAGAGACACUUCGCUCCAUUCAAACAUUAAGAUUUUGAAGAUAUGGGGACAUUGUAUUAAAAUAAGAGCAUCAAAUAUAGUAGUAAUUAACAAUUAAAAGGAGCACUCAAGCAUGAUACAAAGGAAUGACGUGGAUCGAUCUACCUAUGUUUUUGCAGUGAUUUAUGCGAAUCUAACAAUUUCCAUGGUUCAGCUGGUGCAGGUUAACUUUGUUUUAUAUAACACAAGCAUACAAGUUUUAUGGAUGCUACUUUUGUGCCAAAAGUAUUAUCCUUGUGAGGAGUAUAUUAAUUGAACUUGAAACAUCCUUUAACAUGAUUUGUUAACUAACGGAUCACUAAUGGUUAAUUUAACUGUUAUUCACACAACCCGUUAAACCUGCGAAUUUAAAACUCAUAUAUAUAGAGUUUUUGCGGAAUUUGAGUCAUAUUAACAUGUCAUGUACAAUUAUUUGCUAGUUUUUGUAAACCUUACUGUAAUAUGAUGAAGAAGAAGAAAUGAAGAGAAGAAGAACAAAGACAGCUUUGAGAAGAAGAAAGCGAGAGAUAUUCAAUACUCAAGAAUUUCAUUCCAUUUACUGUUAAGAACAUUACAUACUUAUAUUCUUUUACACAGUAAACCUUAUCUCUUAAGCUAUCUUGUAACUACCUAAUAUAACAACCUUUCUCAUCUAAUGACAAGUGGCAUUUUAUUAAGUAUUGGAUCACUAUCCUCAACAUCCCCCCUCAAACUCAGGAGAUGAGCAAUCGAGCCUGAGGUUGUUGCAGUGUGUCUGAAAUAGUGGAGCAAAUAGUCCCUUGGUUAGAAUGUCAGCAAACUGGUCACUGGACAUAACAAAGCGAACUUGAAGUAACUUUUGAGCAACUCGUUCUCUCACAAAAUGGAUAUCCACCUCAAUAUGUUUAGUGCGCUGAUGCAACACUAGAUUACAAGAUAAUGCUAUCGCAGACAUAUUAUCACAAAAGAGAACAGUGGGAGUAGGAACUGAAACUUUGAGAAACACAAGUAGUUGUUUAAUCUAGUCAAGUUCAGCUGCAGUAGUGGAUAAGGCUCGGUAUUCAGCCUCUGUGGAUGAUUGAGAAACUGUUUGCGGCUUCUUAGAAGACCAAGAGAUAGGGUUAUGACCAAGAAAGACCACAAAACCUGUUGUUGAUCGCCUGUCAUUGGGGUCACCAGCCCAAUCAGCAUUUGAAAAGGCAUGUAAAUCCAUAGAACCUUUCACAUAUUUAAUCCCAAGCUUGACAGUACCCUUAAGAUAUCGGAGGAUCCUUUUUACCGCAAUAUAGUGUGAUUCCAUAGGUUUGUGCAUGAAUUGACACACCUGAUGGACUGCAAAUGCUAUAUCCGGUCUUGUAAAAGUGAGAUACUGUAAAACACCAACAAUGCUUAUGUAAAGUGUAGGAUUGUUGAAUGGAUGACCAUCAUCCAAUAGCAACCUAUUAUAUGGUAAACAAGGAGUGGCACAUAAUUUAGAUUUUAACAUCUCCGUUUUUGUAAGAAGAUCAGUAACAUACUUUGCUUGUGAGAGAAGCAAACCAUCUGCCCUGUUCAAUAAUCUGAAUCCCCAGAAAGUAAUGGAGAGAGCCUAAAUCCUUGAUUUCAAACUCUUUGGUUAAAGCAGUAAUAACAUCAUCAACAACAAAAGUAGCAUUCCCAGUAAUUAUUACAUCAUCCACAUAUAAUAGGAGAAUCAUAACUGCAGAACCAACUUGUUUCACAAAGAGAGAUGAAUCUGCAUAAGUUGUAUCAAAACCAAGAGAUGGGAGGAAGCUAGUGAAUUUUUCAUUCCAAGCUCGGGGAGCUUGCUUAAGACCAUACAGAGACUUAUGGAGUUUACAAACAUAAUCUGAAUGACAAGAAUCAAGAAAUCCAGGUGGUUGAGAUAUAUAAACCUCCUCCUGUAAAACCCCAUGAAGAAAUGCAUUCUUCACAUUUAAUUGCCGGAGUUUCCAACCAAAAUUAGCUGCCAAGGCCAACACAAGUCUCACAGUAGUUGGUUUAACUAUGGGACUAAAAGUUUCCCCAUAAUCAAUGCCUUCUUCCUUAUUAAAACCUUUAGCAACUAGCCUAGCCUUAUAUCUCCCAAUAGUGCCAUCAACAUUCUUCUUAAUCUUGAAUACCCAUUUACAUCCAACCAAGUUUUUAUGUGGAGGCAGAGGUACCAAGGUCCAUGUGCCCUGAGAGUGUAAUGCAGACAACUUUUCCUUCAUUGCAUGUAACCAAACUUCACUCUUUAAGGCUGAUUUGUAUGUGGCAAGUUUAACCAUUGAUAAAUCUACGCCAUCAUUCUCAUGUAUUGUUGCUAAGAGAGCCAUUUUCUUGGAAAUUCCAUUUUUUGACCGAGUUUGCAUUGGAUGCAAGUUUAAUGGAGGAAUAGGAAGAACCAUUUGCUGUCUCUCUGGUUGGAAAUCAGGAGUCACAGGGAUAGUAGAGGAUGAUGAUUGUUCAAUUGCAGUAAUGGAUUGUGGUGAAUGAUGUUGUACUGAAGGAUCUGGGAUUGGUGAUAUGGAAGUAGGUAGUGUAGAAUCUGGUCGUGUUAAAAGUUGUACUAAAGGAGACUCAUGAGGACUAGAGUGUGAUGGGGAUGAUGUGGGAGUAUGUAAAACUAGAGAUAUAAGCACAUUUUGAAAAUUAGGAACUGGAGUAGGAAGGGACACUGUUAUAGAUGGUGGUUUAGACACUAGUAAUUGUUGUGUACUAGCCAAAGAUGAGUAAGGAAACUCCCUUUCAUCAAAUAGAACAUGACGAGAGAUAAAGACUUUCUUCCUAGACACUUCAUAACAGAGAAAUCCUUUGUAUUUGGAAGCAUAACCUAGAAAGACACACUUACUGGUUCGGGGCUGCAACUUAGUGGAGUUAAAUGGUCGUAACAAUGGGUAACAUGAACAACCAAAAGUUCUUAAAUGGUUAACUUCAGGAACAGAUCCAUAUAAGACUUCAAAUGGUGAUUUAUGAUGAAGUGUUUGAGUUGGCAUUCUAUUAAUUAGGUAGACAGAGGUUUGACAAGCAAAAGACCAGAAAUUAAAAGGUAAUUUAGCUUGUUGUAACAGGGUGAUUGAAGUUUCAAUAAUGUGUCUAUGCUUCCUUUCAGCCAGACCAUUUUGUUCUGGUGUGUGAGGACAGGACAUUUGAUGAGUUAUUCCCUUUUGAACCAGAAAAGAUUGAAAGUGUUUUCCUAUGCAUUCACCCCCACCAUCACUUUGUAAUGUUUUAAUGGAUACAUAAAAUUGAUUUAACACAAACUGAUAAAAGGCAACAAAGAUGGAAUAAACAGCUGCUUUAUUAUUGAUAGGAAAAAUCCAACAGUAUCGUGUACACUCAUCUAUGAAGGUAACAUAGUAUUUAAACCCUUCUAUAGAGAGACAAGGAGCAGGGCCCCACACAUCACUAUGAACAAUCUCAAAAGGUGUAUUAGACUUUGACAAGGCAGAGGCAAAAGGCAAUUUACUAAAUUUUCCCUCUAAGCAUAUAGAACACAACACUGGAGAAGAAUCAGGUUCUAUAUGUAUGUUGGAUUUCUUAAGAAUAAGAGAGACUAUAGAGUUAGAGGGAUGACCUAAUCUGCUAUGCCAUAGGCUGGAGCUAAUUUGAUGACCAAGGUAUGCAGCAGCUGGAAAAAUUGGUUUGAUGGAUGCAGGGCUUGUAGGAAUAGGAAUGAGGUACAAUCCAUUAUUGCAGAGGCCUUUGAACAGUACUCUCCCUGUGACUUUGUCCUGAAUCCAAAAACAAAAGGCAUAAAAAAUUAGCCAACAGUUGUUAUCAAGGCAUAUUCUAUGAACUGAGAGUAAGUUUUGAGUGAGUUUAGGUACACAAAGCACAGAAUUCAACUUUAAGUUGUGAGCAGAAGUUUGUAAAACAAUAGAGCCCACAUGAGACACACUCAGACCUUCACCAUUAGCAGUCUGAAUCAUUUCUGUGGAUGGAUAUGGUGUAGCCAGAGACAAAUUGCUCAGAUCAGCAGUCAUAUGGUUGGUUGCAUCUGAAUCAGUAAGCCAUACUUGCUGUGAACUCACUUGUUGUCCCAAAGUUGGUGCUGAAGCACUAACAUGAUAUGCAUUCAUAGAUGGAUGAGAAGAUGGACCAUUUGAAUUCCUAAACUGGCAAAACUGAGCACUAUGGUUCAUUUUUCCACAGAUUUGGCAACCUUCAGGAAUUAGAGAUUCAGUAUUCCAAAAUCUACAUGUAUUAGCAAAGUGACCAUAUUUACCACAUAUUUGACAUGGUGACACUUGAGAAUUGGAUGAAGAAUAUUGACCUUGUGGAGAAGAACCAAGAAUCCCUCGAGUGGAAUUGUUAUAGAACUGUUUGCCAUUGGCAAAUUUAGAAUUUGAACUAAACUGGAAUUUCGCCUUUCCUUUAUUCUUAUUAUAGAAAGGUCUAUAACCAGAGGAGUUAUAACCAGAUGAAUUACCAUCAGAAAAACCGCUUGAUUGAUCUCCAGAAUUGGAAUGAGUCCCAAAUUUUAACCCUUUAUCAUUGAACUGCAUAUCAGUAUCUCUAGCUACCAUAGCAGAUAUGAAAGGAGUAGCAGAUACAUAUGCAAGCAUUACUUCCUUAGCAAGUAGUUAAGAUCGGAGGUCCUUAAGAGAAAUUACAUUCUCUCUUCCUCGAAUAAUAGACCGAAUAGUAUUGAACUCAGCAGGUAAACCAUUGAGAGUGAGGAUUACUAUAUCAUCAUCAUCAAACUUCACAGCCGUAGCAGAUAAGUAAUCUCUAGCUUCUUUUAUCCGUUGCAAAUAUAAAGAAAUGGAAUCAUUACCCUUUUUGAUAUUCUGAAGUUCGGAUUUCAAUUGAAAGAUACUGGUACGAGUCACUGUGGAAAAUUGCUUUUUUAGGUGAUUCCAGAUAUCUUGAGCACUUGUACUGCCAAUAACACAUGAGAUAGCAGGUGGUGAGAGGGUAGCAGUGAUCAACUGCAUAAGCGCUCGAUCGUGCAUCUUCCAAAUCUUGAAAUCCUCAGAUUCGACUUGGAUGGAUGAAAUGCAAGAAUUGACCUCCUCUGAACCACUGGAUGCCGCAGCAAGAAACCUUGAAGGACACGGCAUUGACCCAUCAACAAACCCCAUAAUUCCAUGACCUUCGAGCAUCAAUUGAACUUGAAAGUUCUAAGUCAGGUAGUUUGAUUCAUUAAGCUUGGCUGUCACAGAAGUAGAAACUGUGGAGAUAAGAGCCGUAAUCAGAGACUAAACAAUUUGGAGCUGAGAAGAUGUCACCAUUGUUGAACAAUUCGAAUUUCAAUAUCUCAGAAACGUUUUAACAAACACCUGGUGUGCAAGAAACUAGAUCUUGCUCGAUCACUGCUGAAGAAGCACAAAAAAAACCAAAGAACUCAAGAAGAGAAGAAUUAGGAUCAGAAAGAGAGGAAAGAUAUAGAGCGGAAGCAAUAGAACCAAGAUCGAUCACCGAGCGAUUAGCAAUUCCGGUGAUGAUACCAUGUAAACCUUACUGUAAUAUGAUGAAGAAGAAGAAAUGAAGAGAAGAAGAACAAAGAUAGCUUUGAGAAGAAGAAAGAGAGAGAUAUUCAAUACUCAAGAAUUUCAUUCCAUUUACUGUUAAGAACAUUACAUACUUAUAUUCUUUUACACAGUAAACCUUAUCUCUUAAGCUAUCUUGUAACUACCUAAUAUAACAACCUUUCUCAUCUAAUUACAAGUGGCAUCUUAUUAAGUAUUGGAUCACUAUCCUCAACAGUUUUAACGAGGGCACAUGAAAUUACUCUGGAGUAAGUUCUAACCUUUUCGUACCUUAAUUUCGUAUUAAUGAUAUAUUCGACGAGGUAUUAAAAAAUACCACAAAAUAAAAAAUUAGUUUAGGCUUUUUAGCCAAAAGGGUCUCCGAGAUUGGCAUAAACACACAAGUGUUAGACGUAAGCAAGAACCGAAGGUUCGACUAGUUGGCCUGGAAUCUCUUGCAUUUCAGGACAAGUGAUUGGUUGCCGGUUUCCAAUAGCAUUCAAGGGGAAGAAAAUUUAACAUAUCUUUACCAAGGAGUCAAGGACGGGUCGAUGCUUCUGAUCCCCUAUAUAAAUUAACCCUCCUAACCCUUUGUUUUGCACAAAUCAGCUUCCUUAAUUAACCCUAGCUACAAGAGAAUAGGACGAAGAAGGUACGUGUUUCAUUUAGUUCAACAUGCAUGCGUGGCUACAUGUACGACCGGAUACAUAUAAUUCGGAUACAGAAUUACAGGUUUGUAAAGAAGGUGACAGAAGAAAGUGAGCACACGUGGUUCUUUUCUUGCAUGAAUCCAUGUCAGAAGCUCUAUGUGUUCAUUCUCUAUCUGUCACCUACCAUCCUUAACCCUCUCUCUCACUACUCUCUCUCUCAACUACAUAUAAGAUGAUACACACACACACACACUAUCGUUUGAUUUGUCAGAACAAGAUAUGAUACUUAAAUCCUAAAAUGCAAGAGAUUAUCCAAUAAGCACCCCAAAUCAUGUAUGUCAAUAAUUGUGCACCCCAAAUCAUGUAUGUCAAUAAUUGAUAUUAAAAAACUAAAUAAAAUUUAGUGGGUUUGGUGAGGUAUUUUGGAUAAGUCCAUUUUUAAUUCUGGCAUUAGAAAUAAUUUUCGCUCGGUACGUUUUAUUUGUAUUUUUAUUUUUAAAGAUGAUCAAUUGGUAGCUUCGCCACGACAGUUCAUCAUUUCGGAACAUAGGAAGACUCAUAGAGGCAUUGCAGUCUUUCCUGACCAUAUAAGCACUAAUCUCAUACUUAGUUUAAUCAUAUUAACACUAAUCUCAUACCUCCUUUUACCAUUAAACUAACCACCAAAUAUUAAUCACAUGCGCCAUGAGUGAUUAAUUAAUUGUUUAGAUGUUAAUCAAUCUCUCACACCAUAAGCAAUCCAAUAAUUUAGCCAAAUGCUACCUUACCUGCAGCCCUUUUAAGUAAAACUUGUGAUAUCAAAAGCCUGAGAGUAUCUCCUCUCAUACACAAUUCAUCCAACACAUGGAGAGCAAAGAUCAGAAGAAACUUCACAUAGCCAUGUUCCCAUGGCUAGCCUACGGCCACCUAAUGUCAUUUCUGGAGGUCUCCAAGUUCUUAGCUCAAAAGGGUCACCAAAUCUCCUUCAUCUCCACACCCAAAAACAUCAAUCGCUUCCGAUCCUCCUCCCUUUCCCCUCUUAUCGAUUUCAUCGAGCUUCCUCUCCCCGCCGUCGACGGCUUACCGGAAUCCGCCGAGUUCCGAGCUACCAAUCAACAAAGUACCUUACCUCAAAAAAGCCUACGACUUGCUCAAGCCUUCAGUCACGCAUUUCAUCCAACAUUCGGGCGUCAACUGGGUCGUCCACGACGUCAUUUGCUACUGGCUUCCCCGAGUUGCCACCCAGCUCGGAGUCAACUCGGUAUUCUUCAGCGUCACCAACGCCACUACCUUGGCCUUUUUCGGUCCUCCGUCCGAGUUACUCAGCGACAAACUCCGGCGGCCAGAGGACUUUACGGUCGUCCCCGAGUGGGUCGACUAUCCUUCCAACGUUGCUUUUAAGCUGCAUGAGAUGGUGAGCCACUGGGACUGCAUGGAGGACGAGGUCUCUGAUUUUCAGAGAGCCGCGCGUGCGAUUCAAGAUUGUAAUUUUGUGACUAUGCGGAGCUGCACCGAGUUUGAAUCUGACGCGGUGAGUCUGCUCAAGAAGAUCUACGGCAAACCCAUUGUUCCACUAGGGCUGCUGCCGCCCGACUCAGCGCCGCAUCAGCAUGGCGUCGCUGACGAUCGAUGGGAUGAGAAGUGGGAAGUGUUGAGAGAGUGGCUCGAAAAUAAGAAACCGAACUCGGUGGUUUACAUCGCAUUCGGCACUGAGGUGACUCCUAGCCAAGAGUUGAUGCAUGAGUUGGCACAUGGGAUAGAGAAAUCCGGGUUGCCCUUUAUUUGGGUGGUCAACAAUCGCCCGUUGGUGGAGGGUGUGUUGGGGGCCGAUAUCAUUCCACCCGGGUUUCAAACUCGAGUGGAGGAUCGAGGCUUGGUCUGGAGGGGUUGGGCCCCACAACUUAAGAUUCUGGAUCAUGCAUCGGUCGGAGGUUUCCUAACUCAUUGUGGUUGGAGUUCAGUUGUUGAGGCACUACGGUUUGGGCUGGUUCUGAUUUUGUUUUCAGGUGCUUAUUCAGACCAACCGUUGAACGCGAGACUAAUGCACGAUAAGCGGGUGGGGUUGGAGAUACCAAGGGACGAGCGAGACGGAUCGUUUACGAGUGACUCGGUGGCCGAGUUGAUUAGGCGAGUGAUGGUGGAGAAAGAAGGUGAGUCAAUAAGGUCAAAUGCAUGGGCCAUGAAGGAGAUCUUUGGCAACGUAGAGUUGAACAAGCAGUGCUUCGACGAGUUUUCUCGGGUCCUUGAAACCUGGCCAAUUCCACCUAGUCAAUGAGAAAAUUUUUAGUGAAGAAAAGAAAACCGCUCAAUAUAUCAAGUAUUAUAAUAAAAGUUGUUACAUAUUUGAAAUUUUCCAACUAGUUAUAUUGUGAUACUUAUGUACUAGAUUUUGUUCCGGACAUACUGGAAAAUAUCUCCUCUCUCUCUCUCUCUCUCUUCAAGUCUGCUUUCUCUGCAACCAAACCCUCACCCUAACCAUACUCAGUUUAAUCAACCAAAACACAAAAAGAAAAGAAAAGAAAAAAGUGGGGUUGGUCCAACCUGUAGUGACAUCAGCCUCCUCAAAGAACAAGAACAUGAAUUCAAAGAACACAACGACCAAACCUCCUCAAAACUCAUGUACCAGUUAUCCCAUAUAUCUUAUUUGUUGAAUUCAAAAUUAUAUAUCUUACAACUCAAAUUAACAAGGAAGGUGCUAAAAAAUUAAAGUUACAUACCAUCACUAGUAAAAGGUGAUAAGUUAGGACUAAAUAGUUUAUGAAUCCCCAAUGCUAGAUGUGUCACCAUUCCUUUUUUCUAGAACAUAUAAAAAUCAAGAACUCAUUAGAAAAUAAGAAAGCAAGCAUGCAACAAAACAAGAGAAAAAACAAAAACAAAGUAAUGAAAAAUAAAUAUUCAUACCUGUUUCAAGUGCUUCAUAAAACUCUAUAUCUGCCAAGAUUGUCUCAUCGUCUAAAAUUGAGAUGUUAUCGGACAUCAACCAGUUUUGAGUACAAAUUAACAUCUCUACCAUUAGAGGAGUCAACGAAGAACGAUAUGAGUUCACAAUCCUUCAUCCCGUGCUAAAGGCAGAUUCUGAAGCUACCGUUGAGACCGGAAUUGCAAGAACUUCCUUUGCAAUUAGUGCCAACACUGGGUAUUUAACACUAUUCAAUUUCCACCAAUUUAAAAUAUCAAAAUCUUGACCCACUUCCACUUUUUCAUUGCGAUCUAACAAGUACCUAUCAAAUUCAUAGUCCGAGAGCACGGCAUUACUUGCUUCAACUUCUUUUAUCCAACUUUCAUCCAUUUCUGCUCAUUUUUCCCCCUUCCAUGUUUUUUUGGAUCAGCCCCACCAAUAGUGGUUGUAGUACUAGUAGUAUUAAAACAACUAUUAGCACUAGAACCACUUGGUUGGUUAGAAGAAGGAACAUACUCAUCAUAUAGUUUGAAGACUAAGCUUUUUAUCUCAUCCUUCUUAGCCAUGGCUUCAUCAAUACUACAACCAUGACGCUUCAAAAUAUGUGGCACAUAGCCCAAUUUAUAUCUUGGAUCAAGCACAAGUCCCACAAACAGAAAAGGAUUCACUUUAACAAGAUCACCCCAAUACUUAUCAAAUUUCGCCUUCAUACUUAGUGCCAUUUCAUGCAAUAUCAAACUUGUGUAGGUUUGAGUUAAUAACAUAUCUUCUUCAACAAACAAAUCAACUAUUUCUUUGUCAAUUACAAGCAAAUCAGAAAAAGUACUAUGACAAGCCGGAUGUAAAGUAACACUCAUCUUCAAUGUUAUUUGAUAGAACACUUUCAAAAAAUUGACAAAGAUAGCGGCAUUGCUCCAAUCUUCCAUAUUUGGUGGCCAAUACCUCUUUUUACCAUUGAAGGUCUACCCACUCGUUCUUCUUCUCCCGGCACAUCUUCACCAAACCAUGUUCGAAUUCCACCUAGUUGGCACAUCUAAAAAAACAAGACCUUUGCAUUCAAUUUUCUCCUUCUUAACACAACUCCUAAAAGUUUCCACCCUUUGUGGAGAAGACGUUACAUAGACCAACGCAUUCCUAAUAGCUAAGAUGGAUUUAUCUAACGUUAUCAAACCAUCUUGAACUAUCAAGUUAACAAUAUGAGCACAACACCUGACAUGCAUAUGAUUUCCCUCAAGUAUCAUUCGUGAAUUUUGCCAAUGACACAUCUUUGUCUUCAAAUAAUCUAUUGCCACCUUGUUUGAAGAAGCAUUAUCGACCAUGAUGGUUAGUACAUUCUCCAAACCCCAUUCUAGCAAACAAACCUGUUGACCCUAAAAACUACCAAGCCUACGUGGCGCGCAGGCCGAGUAAUCUAUAAGCUAACUACGUCAUUCGGUGAAUGCGGGGCGUGCCAACUCGUCGGCUGAGCUCGGCCGAUGAGUAAAUUUGUUGAUGUUGCGUUGGGUGCGCGACUAACUUUUGCGUCUUGCGAUUGCGACCGAGGAAGGAACACGUCUCGGCCUCUUGGGUUCUCAAACCUGAAGACAAGGCUACUAUUCUACGAAGUUCAAUAUCAAACUCGGCUUUCAAUGUGCCGAAUGUAAUAACUUGUAACACCUCACUUCGCCGAGAAGGCUGAUGAGAUGACCUCGACCAACAAGGAUUCGGAAAUCCUUCUCGACCGAGACUUGGAUAGGUAACCAACCGUCCUCGUCGCAGUGCUGUUGAUGCCAACGGAAGAUGCUGCGAGAUCGGCUGAUUCUACGGUGACAGAGCUAUCUAUUCCGACUUAAGAUAUCACCGGUUGCUUCCACAGUGCUGUUGAUGCCAACGGAAGAUGUGUCAGCGAAAAGAGAAAAUAAAAAAUCUCAAGUUGUUGAGAGUUUGCGCAGGGCAGUUAUGUGUUGAAUUAGAGGUCCUCUAACCAUUGUCUGCGACUUUGUAUUUAUAAGUAGCAUCCUCAUCCUGACGGCUCGCGUUGUAAAGCUGCCGCCAACAUCAAAGUCCUCAUUCAUAACAAUCUCAUGCAAAAUAAAAGAUUGUUAUCACUUACCAACACGAAACCACUUUGUGCUAAUUAAUAGCAUAUUAGCAUAUACCAAUUAGUGUUGAUAAGCAUCUUGACUUGAAAUAAUGAUAUGCAUGCAUGGCUCCACCAAAUCCACUCACACGUGGCUAUCCAUCUCCAAUUUAACAUCUUCAUCUUCAUGCAAGCAUUAAUAUCUCUGUCAAUGCCCAUUUGCCAACAAUGCAGUAGUGUAUUAGGACUCUUAAUAACGUGCUCUGAUGCUCCCAAUCCACCACGCGUCUUAACUCCAAGAAUCCCAAAUCAAAUUGAAUUACAUUUGCAUCUCAUCUAUCUUGUACAAGAAAAUAUCAAGAUAAUUCAUCAUUAAAAAUAAUUAUUAAUGAUAAAAAAUCAUAAUAUUAUCCUUUAACAAAAAUAUCUUCACUUUUCCAUCCGACGGUCGAGAACUAUGCUUACUCAACGGCCUUGAUUACACGGGCCGAUGGUGUAAAUUUGGGUCCAAACAAAACCUCAAGAAGUUUUCCAAUGGAGUUCCCCUUGUGAUUAGCUAUGACACAAAAGUUUAGUAUUCUUUUGUGCAACUUCCAAUUACUAUCUAUGAAAUGUGCCGUUAUCACCAUGUAGUUUACCUUUUGAAGACUUGUCCAUGUGUCGGUUGUGAGGCUAACUCUGUUUUCAAUUUUGCAUUCAUUUCAUCAGACAUGAAGACAAAGUGUCUGUCAAGUGUCCUACGAGAUGGUGGAUAAAAAUGGGGGCAAACAACACUACAGAAAAACCUAAACCCUCUCCCUUCAACAUGUGAAAACGGCAACUCAUCUAAGACAACCAUUUGUACCAACGACUUUAUGCAAUCUUCUUUUGUAUUCCCCCUAGCCAUAAGAGUACCAACACCAUCAUCAAAAGACAAAAUAUUUUGCCUUUUAUCCUGAUUUAUUCCCGGAUAACUCUUACAUCUUCCUCCCUCAAUAUGUUUUGUAACGGUUUAAGUACCAUUUCCAGAAGGGUUAGUAGCAAAGGUAGAACAAUGCUUACACCUAGCUCUCCUUCUAAUUAUUGUUUCUUUGGUCCCAUAUGGCUUCACAAUGUUUUCUAUGUCAUCAUAUUCAACAAAAUGGUCCCAUACUUUUGCCCUACGCCUACUGUUCCCAAGAGGAGGCAAUGGAGGAAUACCACUUGGUUGAGUUGGUGGUUGGGGUUGUGGUGGAGUUGGUGGUUGGGAUAUGGUUUGAGUUGGUAGUGAUGGUGUUGGAUCCGGUAAUGACGAAGGUGAUGAUGAAGAAGCAGAUGCAAAAGAAGAACAAAAACUAUGUGAUUUUGAUUGGUUCAUCAUCCCUAAAAUAGACAAAAAACAAAAACCAUGUCAUUCACAUACAUAUUUUGAAUUAUAGGAAUAUAUUGAGUGAUUAGAACGAGAGAACAACAUGCCCACAUCAUAAAACUAAACAAAAGCAUAGAACAUGUUAAAAUUCCAACCAAACAGAAACAUCAAAGACUUGAAUUAGCAUGGAUCUCAAUCACUUAAAGGCAGUCAAGGCAAAUGUUGUACUGCCUAAAGGACAAACUACAUUCUACUUUCUCGUGGUUAUUGAUAAUAGUAGCAGAAAACACGACACAAUAUUUGUAGUGAAAAAUAAUAUAAACGAACAUUUGUAACAAAUAUAUCUAAAAUGAAACUCCAAAAAGAGAUAAGAGGCCAUACUGAGAAGAUCUACAAUUAAACCAUUUUAUACCUUAGAGAAACUAUUAGGAGGAACCAAUGAAGACAGUCUUCCAAUGCUUUUACAUACACUAAAAGGUCUUCAGCGCAGCUGCAUACAAAAACAAAUUGACCGAAGGAGGACAUCAUAAAUUCAUUGCAGGACAACACAAUUAUGGAAUUAAGUGCAUAAAGAGCUUACUAGUCUAUUCACUACCAUUGAACAAAACAAUGAAACAUAAUAAAUAAAAAAGGAAAAAGUAAACAAGGAUAAACCUACCAUAACCUUCCAACCCCUGUUGAGCAUCCAUCUCUUGCAGGUUUAACACAUAAUGUUUCAUAGUGAAGCUUUGAGGUCAAUUCAUGCCAUAGAUUUGGUAUUGAUGAACUAAUGAGAUCUUAUUUUCUCCUCACAGUGAAGAUCGAUUCUUGAUUUUUGUCAUCAGUUGUGCCACUGCAGAGCAACCAAAAAAAAAAAUUGUUAAUUAACCUUCAAAUCAUGUUAGAAGGGGUAAACAUGCCAUGAAGUACUAAUUUCAGCACAGUUAAACACUUUAUUUUUUCCCAGGCAUAGUGUUGUCAAUUAGAGUGUUGUUUUUCCUUGAGCUUUUACUGGUGCUCCAUCUUAUUUCUUAAAACUUUAGUUUGAGAUAGGUUUUAUUCAUCACCCUCAUGCUUUCAUCAAUAUGACUUACAUUUCACAUUUUCGUUACAGGCAACAGAGGGGCAUUUUGCUUAUGCCUUUCAAGGAGGUGAACCUCAAAUAGAUAAGUGAGUCUGAGACUCUAGUGGAUGAUUGUUAUAUAUUUAUCUUGUCUAUUUCUUUUGAUGUUACAGAAUUAAAGAAAAGUAAAUUGUUUUUAUUCCUAAAAUUUUGAAUUCUACUACAACUGAAGCUUUCGUAGAAACUGAACCACAUAACCAAUUGAACCAACUGAACCACAUAGAAGAAGAGAUUCCAGGCAAUUCUGAAAUUUCGAAGGUGAAGACUCUACAACUAAUUCUUAGAAGUUUUUUUCAUAUACAAAAUCUUUACCUAAGAAGACCUCCACUUCCUGAAAUUUCAAAGGUGAAGACUCUACAGUCUACCCCACACCAAAGACCAAGCAAAGAAAACCAUUUUGACAUUACUCCAGCUCAAAGUGGCCUUACAUAAAGGGGCAGAUUAAAGCCGAUGACAUUUCUGUAGAAUCUACGAACUUAAAACACCCUUAUUGAAUCCUACAGACCAUCUAUAUACAAAUGUCCCUAAAUGCAGGACAAGAGUCACAUGACUCAAUUAGACAAUAGACAGUGUUAAUCACACAUAUAUAGUGCAGGUAAAACAGAAUGGAAAUCCAGUGGAACUCAACCAUCCAUAUUCCUAAUCUCAAUUUCAAAUAUAAGAAAGAUAGAGAAAAUACCAAGGAGGGAGGAAGGAGGAUGAAGAGUGCCGUUGCAGAAGCUGAGGUUGUGGGCUGCCUGAAGAAUCGUUGAUAUUUUUGGAUGAGAGGUAGUGGUGAGGGUCGGAUCUCGGAUGUGCGAAAUGGGGGAAUGGGGAUGUGAGAGGGGUGAGGCUGCGUGAGUGAGGAGGGUGAGGUGAGUGAGACUGUCUGAUUGUGAAUGAGUGAAACCUAAUUGGGAUGGGAUUCCAUGCUUUGCAACUUGGUGAAACUCAUUUGUCAACCUAUUAUAUCAUGACAUGUGUAUAUAUAUAUAUAAUUUAUUUAUUUAUUAUUAAUAAAAAGGUUCAGUUCGGUUUCGGCCGGUUCUUGUUCAUUCGAAACCGGUUUAAACGGUUCGGUUCGGUUUUUGACUCAAAGUUGACUUUUCCAGUCAACACGGUUCUUUUCGGUUUUUUUUCAUAUGGUUUGAUGCGGUUUUGCGGUUUGACGGUUUUUAUGCCCACCCCUAGUGCUAAAGUAAUUGGAAGAUAUGUUUCAUGGUAAAAAAAAAAAGAAAAAAAAAGAAAGUAGGAUUUAAGCUUUUGUGGUGGUAUUGUUAACAAAUUUAGUCCAAAAUUUUUUUUGUUAAAUGUUUGUUAAAUACAAGAUAAAAAUUGUAAUUUAACGGAAAAAUUACUUUUGGACUAAAUUUACUAACAGACUACACCACAAGGGUUUAAAUUCUAUUUUUUUUCUCACCAGGGCUAUCUUCCGAUUAUCUUGUCACCACAAAUACCAUUUAUCCGAUUAGGUCUUUUUUGAAAAGCAUUACAUAUGUGUUUAUGAAACAGUUUUGAAAAUGAACGUAGAGAUUGAUUCUAAAAAAUUGAUUAGUGGAAAUUAUUUAAAAAGUUAUACUACUUGGUGGGCUAGACUUCCGAAGACAAUCCCGUUUUUGUUAUUAACAUAUUGAAAUUUUAUUACUAAUAUAAGUGCUUCUUAUAAAAAGAACUUUGUAGUAUUGAAACUUUUGGCAUGUGUUUCUUUAUAAAGCAUUUAUUUAAGGGUAGUGUUGUUCACACAUCUCUUUUUACUUUCUACACACUCUUAUGAAUUUUUCUCCAUAGAUUUCUUCAAUUCAUUCGUUUCAAUGGCGGGAAAUUGAAAAGAUUUGUAGAUAACACCAUCCUUACAUAAUUCAUAAGUCUUUUUAACUUUUUUGACAAACGCAAUUAAAAUGUUAACUGUGAAAAAAAUGCUUUCAAACAUCCCUAACAAAAAUACUUUCAACCAUUUCAAUUUUCCACAUGCAUAACUGAAUAUAUGUGACAUAUAUGGAAAAGCGGCAGCAUCUCUUAUCCUCAAACGACGUGUCACGUCGGAUGGCCAUUCCGCCUCGGAUCUCUUUGUCCUCCACAAAUGUGACAGAUGGGCCAAUCAGUGCUAAUGGUUCAUGCCCGACGGCACAAUCAUGCACCUCAAUUCUACUCUCUACAUGGAUGUCAAUGAGUGAAAAAAAUUGAAGUUACACCAUAAAACUAAAUGACAAUAUAGUGAUAAUAUGGAAAUUGCCCAAUUAAACAACACAAAUAACGUGAAGCACGUGUGUUCUCCUCUGAUACCAUAAAAAAGUUGGAAUUACAGAGUAGCCAACAAAAAAAGGAUCACAAGUCAUUCUAUAUCCGCCGAUAGUGGGUGCUGACCAGCAGUGGCUGCCUCUCGGUAAUCAAAAUUACGUACGUACUUUAAAUAGCCACGCAUGCAUAUAUAUAACGCUAAAGCUACCUAAGCAAGCUGCCGCGUGAUUAGUUGGGUGGCCGCCCUAAUAGGUUGGCCUGUGUUAAAAUUGUAAAAGUUUGCUUGCAAUGAUAACUAAAUAAGGGUUCAUUUGGAUGUACUUUUAAAAUGACUGAAAGUGUUUUUGGUGAAAAUAUUUUUGAAAGCAAUCCUUAUUAAAAAUUCAAGUGAAUCCUAAAAAAAACACUUUAAGUGCUUCCUGCAAGAAGCACAUAUCUGGUGCUUCUUCCAAAAGGCACUUAAAGUGCUUUUAAAACUCAAAAUCUAUUUCACCAAAAACGCUUUCAGUCAUUUUAAAAGCACAUCCAAAAGAACUCUAAACGUUACUUUUAAAGUGUUUCUCAAGAAGAAAGAUUAUCAAAAGAAAAAUUACCUAAAUUUAAAUUAAGACUAUAACUCGCUAAAUUGUUAAUUACAAUUUUUUUUUUCUUUAUAGAUGUACCGAAAUUCGCAUUAUUAAUAUCAUAAUAGCAAUUCUCUAGGGACCAACACAAAGGGACCCAAAGAAUAAUUAUUACAAGCAACUUGCAAUGUCAAGUAAACCGUGACGGACCCAAAGAAUAAAUAUCGCCUGCAACUUGCAAUGUUAAAUGAAUCGUGAUCGCUGAUUUACCAGUAACUUAUCAAUUUGCAAUCCACAAUCAAUUCGUAAUCGUCAUGCCAAUAGUUGAAUUUUUAAUCAUAAUUUGGACACGUGUUCAUUUAAUGUCAUAUCUCAACACGUGUUCAAUCCGCAAUCAAUUCGCAAUUUGCAAAUGUUAAAUGAACUUGGUUGCUGAAAAAUCAACAGCAGCUGCUGUUGACCAAUCACAGAUGGAUAUGUGUUCAAAUAAUUAAUUUUUUUAAUCAUAAUUUGGACACGUGGUGUUGACCAAUCACAGAUGGAUACGUGUUCAAAUAAUUGAUUUUUUAAUCAUAAUUUGGACACGUGUUCAUCUGUGAUUUGCUAGCAGCUGAAGCUGCUGCUAAUAUUUUCAGUAGCCAAGUUCUGCCUAAGAGUCUCUUCUCUCACACCCAAUUGUCAAACACAUGGAGAACAAAGAUCAGAAGAAACUUCACAUAGCCAUGUUCCUAUGGCUAGCCUACAGCCACCUAAGGUCAUCUCCAACCGAAUAGUCUAGAGGACCAAAAAUAGCUCGAAAACCGUCUUCAACCAAAGGCUAGGCCAGAGGGCUUGUGGGCCCCACGAAAUCUGAAAGGGCUAAAGGGCUAGAGGGCUGGCCACUUUCAGCCAGCCAGCCAACCCCAGGCUGGCCAUAAAUUUUUUUAAAUGUGUCGGAUUUCCUGUCGGUUAUAACCGACAUGAAUAAUUUAGAUUAUUUCAAUAGUGUCAGUUAUAACCGACACUAAUAGUGAUUUAAAUAUAAGGGUUAGACAGGAAUAUCGAAUAGUAAUUUGAAUUGCAAUAAUGUCGGUUAUAACUGACACGAAUAGUAUGAAAAAAUUUGAAUACAACGGCUAGUUGACUGCAACUAGCCGUUGUAUUCAAUUUUUUUUUUGAACUUAAACCUUUUUUUUC
rnacentral:lncRNA from 1 species